UCAGCUACAAGUUAGUUAUUCACACAAAUAAAUGUUUAGUUAUUUGAUAACAAUAAAACACAAUAACAAAUUAUGAAAAAUAACUUAGAUUAAUAUGAAAUAAGAGUAUAGAUGUUCAUGAUAAGAGUACACACUAGCCCUAACAAAAGGACUGAAUUCAUGAUAAAAUUAAAGUACACAAGCUGAAAUUCUAAAACAUAGUGAAAAACAACCGGAAUUUCAAUCUCCGCUCCACAUCAAAGCUUGAAUUGUCCAAUUAAUUCCUUCCUCAUGCUCUCAGCUUCUCUCCCUCCCUGUUGCGCAGGGAGAUUCUCUUCAAUUUGUGUAGCAUAUCCCUUUUUAUAUUAUCUUCUUCUCUUCCUUUUGUCUCACGCAACAAGGAGAUUAAACCAAUUAAUCCACACCAAUUAAACCAAUUCGCACCACUUGACUGGGAACAGACUAGCCCAAUUAGAGUAGGAAACAUACAAGUUACAACCAUAGUGUGUUGACAUGCACUAAGUCGAAUAAUCCAAUUUCUGCACCGAUCGGCAAAGCUCACACAGCCCAACCUUGAUAACUCCUUGUGUUUUUCAUAUUUUCGCCGUAAAAUACAUGUUUUUCUCUUCAAUUAUAAUUUCUACCAAAAUCGCACAAAACGUAUUAAACCUAACAAAAUUAUGACUAAAAUUAGGUAAAAGAGAUACAAAAUAUAUGUAAAUAUCAACCUAACAAUAUGCCAUUAGGUUUUGUAAUUAGGAUCGAAGUUAACUACUUUUUUUUUUCUUUUAAUGGCUCUAUUAAGGGUCUAGCAAGGCAUUAUGCUUAAUCAUUUCUAACUAUGAAGAACUAAACUCAUGAGCCCACUGAUCGUGAUCAUGGUAUAAAAUAUCGAUGAUAUCGGAAAUAUCAGUAGUCCAAAAACAUGAAAAUGUCAAUGGAAAUAUCAAGAUAUUAUCGAUAUUGAUAAAAAUUGAAUAAAAACCACGGAAAUUGUAAGAAAAACUUGGAAAUUUUUAUUGAAACUUUGGAGAAUGUUUAUUUAGUCAAUUAUCUAUUAGUUUAUAAAAAAAAUAUUAGAAGGAAAUGCAUUACAUGAUGGAUUUAACUGAUUUAAGUUGAUUAUACAGUGAGCUGGUAAACACUGUGAGUGUAGAAAAUAUGUAGUAAUUAAUGAAAAAAAGAUUAAAUGCACCAUAAUCAUUUAUAUAUAAUGAUUUACUACAAUAUUUUACACUUUAUACAUUGCAUGGUAAGAUACAUGAGUGAUUUAGUACCACAUAAAGUUCCUAUGAGGUUCAAAAUUUUCACUAUCUUCAUCAUCUUUAUGUGUAGAGUAAGUUUAUUGUGAAGAGUAUUCAUCAGAUGAUAAAUCCCCAAAAUAGUUUUGCAUGUAAUUGUUAACAUGCGACUCAUAUAAGUAUAAAUAUUUUAGCAUAUUAUCACUAAAACAUAAGUGAUAUAUCGUGGUUAAGGUGUUGUAGGAGUAAAAUGGGAGGGGUUCAAAUCCCCUUUGUGUUUUUUUUCCUCCCUUUUUUCCUUUUUUUUUCCUUCUUUUUCCUUUUUUUUUCCUUCCUUUACAUCGAUAUUUUCGAUAUUUUAGUGAUAUUACACCGAUAUUGUGACAAAAUAUUGCUGAAGUGUGAGCGAAAUUAUCGACAUCGAUAUUUUCCGAUAUUAUUGUUGAUAUUGUCGAUAUUUGUACGAUAUGUACAUAGAUAUGUUCCGAAAUAUCCGUGAUUCGAAAAAACUGAAAUAUCCUCGAUAUUUCGUCGAUAUUAUCGAUAUUUCAGACUAUGAUCGUGAUGCAAUAAAAUUCAGUUCCAUUUUACUUUUGUUGUUCCGCAUGAUUUAUCAAAUUUCACUUAAAUGUGUGAAGUUAGAUAUUUGGUCUUGAUGUUUUAUGGAAGUUUGUACAACAAAAUUUUAAAGUUUGCACAUGAGUCACAUGUAUCAUGUAUGUAAAUACUGAUGCUUACCAUAUGUGUGUGUGUAUAUAUAUUUAUUUAGAAUUUUGUACAUGUUUUAUAUGGCUUUAAAUUUCGCAUCAUCGCGCGGACACCCUCGCUAGUAAAACAUAUGUCACAAUGAUAGAUAAUGUUAAGUCACCACAUUAAUAUUUAAUAAUAAAGUAAUAAUCGAUUUCAGCAUGUUUAAAUGUCUAUAGUAAUGUUAUCUAUACCAUGUUUUUGUACCACAUUUUCAUACCACCUUAGGUGGCAUUUCAUGUAGACAGCCACAUCAUUUGAAUUAAUCAGAUUUUUAAAUUUAGUUCAUUAUUUAAUAAACUAAUAAUUAAGAAAAACUAGUUAAUUAAAUGAUGAUUGUGGUAUACGAGGAGUCUUUCUCCUUCCUCUCCUUGGGUUUUGCAAAUUUUUCAAAUAAUGUGGUUGUCUACAUGCCACCUAAGGUGAUAUAGAAAUGUGGUAUAAAAACAUGGUAUGAGUAAUAUUACUCGACGUUCUUGUGCUAGGGCGAGUUCACGAGUCUUAGUAAGAAUAUAUAGUUUAUUUUCAAUUUACUUAUGAUAUUAUGCAUGCAUUCUUUGAAUUAUUAAUCACUGUUUUAAACUCCCUAGCAAGAAUAUGUAAUUUAUUUUCAAUUUACUUAUGAUAUUAUGCAUGCAUUCUUUGAAUUAUUGAUUACCGUUUUAAACCAUCUAAGUGUCUUAGUGAUUUGUGACCAUUAAGAUCUUUAGAAAAGUAAUUUGAUGCAAUUUUGGUCGGAGGGUUCUUUGAAAUUGAUGCUGGCUUCUUGUGGUUAGUAAUUGUAAUUUCACUUAAGAUGAACACACGUCUUAAGCAUUGCAUGGAUUUUCCAAAGGGUUUUCAUAAAGCACAAUGAGUCUCUCAUGUUCAUAUUUGAUCCAAAUAUCCGGACGGAUUGCAUGUUAGAUAUACGUUCUAUGUUGGAGGUUCCAAGUAGAAUGUAUAUUAGGAAAACCUAACCUUCAAAGUAGCAUGUGUAUAUCUAUUUAAACCCGAUUUUACACUAUCGGCCUGAGCAAUCAAGGCCAUAGAAUGAGUAAAAUUCUAAACCGUUGGAUUGAAAAUUAUUUCUAAAAGUGCAGUUGUUUAUGGGUCGGUUUUGUGCACGUGGCUUAAUUGUCGUGUGGUAACAAAGUUUCAGCGUUGCUUUUCUUUGUAGAAAGCAUGGGGUAAUGCUAAAAUAAUGAUGAUGGAAUUAUGAUGAGGUAAGAAGCCUAGAUAGGCUAGGCUUUUGGUCAUGAUGGGAUAAGUCAGGAUGGGCUUUUAUCUUGUAUGAAACGUCAGCCAUUUGGAUGAUAGGCUUCAACCUAUAGAUGAAAUAAGGAAAUAGUGACGUGAUGCUGCAUGAGGUUACCAUGCAUGCAUAGAUAACGAUUAUGAAAUGAUGGUGGGACCGAAUAUCCUUGGCAGGAUGCCAAGAGUUUUAAUCAAAUGGCAUCACAUACAAGACUUGAAGAUAAAGUGGCAGUACGUUAGGUUGCUACAAAUGAACACGUGGGGUCCAAUUUGCAUGAGAUGAUUAUUUGUGGUUGAGCUUUGAGUUAAUCAAAUGUGUUAGAAUGAGAUAAAGAAAAGUCUUGAUGAGCAUGGCAUGGGUUCAAGUGUUUAAACUUUGGCGAUGCAUGCACUUGGACGCAAAUAUGGGCAUUAAUAUUGCAUGGUUCCUCAGGAUGCUAUAGAAAGAGUUUCAUGUGCAUCCAAAUUGGUCUGAUUCCAUCAAAUCCAACAACCAAUGGCCAAUAAGGAUGCAUCAUUGUCAAGCGGUCAAUUACCGAAUCAGAUGGCUAUUAAAAAUUUUAUUUGUAUCAAGUGCUUAUCUUCAGGAGUCAAUUAACGAAUGGGAUGGCUUUCAAGAGUUUUAUUUGUAUCAACUGCUUAUCUUCAGGAGGUUCAAGUUGUGGCCAACUACGGCUGUUCCGUGAGAAACACAAGCAAAUAAUGCUAUAAAUACAUGAGGCUGUGCAACAUUUAAGUCACCUCCAAUUCAACACACAAACUGCAAUGCGCAAACCCUCGCUCUACAUGAAACCUCUCAACAACCUUGAGAUUUUUAUUUUCUUUUUCCGCCAACACAUCUUCAGUUUGGAUAAACAGCACUGUGAAGGCAAUCGGAGACACAUUCAGUUUGGAUAAACAACACUGUUGUUUUAGAAUCAGCCGAUCGCGGAGCACCUUCAAUUUGGAUAAACAACACUGCAUCGAGGCAAACUGGUUACCUAUGCAAGUCUCGGUCGAGAAGAAUUUUUUAAUCCUUAUUGGCAGAGGUCAUCUCAUUAGCUUUCUCGGUGAAGUGAGGUGUUACAAAUUACUAGGCUCGACACAUUGAACGCCGAGUUGUUUAUGAUUGGUUAUUCACAAGUAAGUUUUAGAGUUUGGCAUUCUGACGGCUGAACCACAUUCACAAUCAAGACGUACAUCUCUUUUGAGUACUUGUGUCCAUAUAGUUUGGUGCCAGUUCGGCGAUCUUAUACUCUUACGAAUAUAAUCACCGUGUCUGAACCUGGCGCCAACGAUCCGUGAACUUCGUAGAACUAGCAGCCUUGUCUUCAGGCUCUAAAACUCGAAGGUCGAGACGUGUUCGUUCCUCGGCUGCAGUCGCAAGAUCAAAAAUUCAGCAGCCUGGAAAUUCAUAUUUGUGCCAGUGACUUUGUAAUAGAUUCUAAAAAUUAAUGCCAAGGGUUGUGUUCCUUCAAGGACUUGAUAUCAUGAAGUUUUAAUGUUUAAUGUAAGUGUUUUCAGCAUGUGCAGAUCUGAAAGACUUAUGGUAAAGUCUGGAAAACAAUCAAAAUGGAUAGGUCCAUUAUAAAGACUGGAUUCAAUCAUUCCAAGUAUGCUAUCACUAAAAUUAGUAAAUCUAGCAUCUCGGAGACAUAACAAAAUAGAGGUGUUAAGGCCUCUACGUGUUAAUGGUUUUAUAGCUAUUUGAACUAAACCUAUGUGGAUAUAGUUAUGACCAUCUUUCUUGUGUAUUUUAAUUUGUUCAGGGGAAAACAAUUGACAAGUUUCAUGUUCUUUACUAAGAGCAUAAGCUUUUUCAACUAUUUUAACAUGAUGUUCACUUCUAAAUGAGGCUACUGACCAUUUCUUUUUGUAAAUAUUUUUACUUGAAACCUUGGGGAUAUUCCAAUCUCCAAAAUCAACAUUGUCAUCAGUUUGAAAAUCAAGUUUUUGUUCUUCAUUAACAAUAUCUGGAACUGUGCCUAAACUAGAUCUAGAGCUAGUGCUGGCCAUUGAAUUAGAUCAUAAGAACUGACUAAUUCCGUUUGGUAAUUGGGUUGUGGUUGAUGAUAAUUUAGCCUAAGGUUACUUACUGUGGAACCUAAGGGAGUAAAACGGUUGGUAAUGAUUAGGGCCGAUGAGGAAUCGGGAAUAUAUUCCUGUUUUACUGGUGGUGGAGGUAGAGUGGCUGAAAGCGUCAUCUGGCUAUUGCUAUUGCUCUUGUUUGUCAUUCUUCCCCUGCAAAAAUUCUCUUGUUAGGAAAUCGGGGAUGCUGUUAUGGCUGCCUUUAAUGUACUCAAUGUCAAAAUCGAAAAUGCUUAAUAUGGCCUGCCAUGGUGCAAAAAUUUGUUUUGAUGCAAUGUUUUGAACAUCUUUUUGUAAAACAUGUUUUGCAGAUUUGCGAUCGACUCGGACUAAAUUUUUUUGAUAAUAUAUAUAUAUAUAUAUAUAAUGUUAGCUUGAUUCAGGUUGCCACUACCGAGAAGUGAUUAGAACGUUCAUGAUUGGGGGCAGGCCGAGCUGCCAAGAAUGGUUUUUCUCGGCCAAGGUGGCAGAACAGAGCCAGUUAUCCACGUGAUUGUAAUGUGCUGAGCCGCCAAGAAUGGUUUUUCUCGGCCCCAUUUGGAAUUCAUUAGUCUAUCGACCGUAUAUGUUGAAUGGUCGAAGUGAUUACGGGGUUUAGCUACCAACAGAAGUAAUUGGCUUCAGCUUAUGGACAUGUUAUGGCAUGAGGAAUCGUGAUCUGCUUCAAGGUACAAGGCUAAUGAGGAAUCAUGAUUUGCUUCCAAGCUGUCAAAAUACCAUUGGAAAGACAAGUGUUUUUUUUAGGCUGAGCUUGGCCAACUCAUCGAGGUAUACUUUCCAAGUUAUGUAACCAAAUAACUUUUGAAGGCCAGGAAACUUGGCCCAAAUUUAGAACAACAUGGUACGGAGUGAAUUUUUAUUCGGCGGUGGAUGCUCAUUUCUCCUUAACCAUAUAUUUCUAGGUGUCACUCAGAAGUGCUCAGUGGUCAGGGAAUGUACGAUUAUUGGUUCUAGAUUUUUUGAACUGACAGUCGUUGAGUGCACAAGAGAGUCCUCUGCUUUACCAAAUCACUUCAUUUUCGGUGAUAGAGGGGUUUUUUGACUGCGUUAAUUUCCUUAACCAUUCAGCUUACCAGCCGAAGCUCAAGGAAACUAGGAGGCAAUGUUUAACACUAUAGGUCUGAGCAAUCAAGUCCAUAGAAUGAGUAAAAUUUAGAGCCGUUGGAUUGAAAAUUAUUUCUAAAAGUGUAGCUGUUUAUGGGUCGGUUCUGUGCACAUGGCUUAAGUGCCGUGUGAUAACAAAGUUUCAGAGUUGCUUUUCUUUGUAGAAAGCAUAAGGUAACGCUAAAAUAAUGAUGAGGUAAGAAGCCUAGAUAGGCUAGGCUUUUGGUCAUGAUAGGAUAAGUCAGGAUGGGCUUUUAUCUUGUUUGAAAAGUCAGCCAUUUGGAUGAUAGGCUUCAACGUAUAGAUGAAAUAAGGAAAUAGUGACGUAAUGCUGCAGGAGGUUACCAUGCAUGCAUAGAUAAAGAUUAUGAAAUGAUGGUAGGACUGAAUAUCCUUGUAGGAUGCCAAAAGUUUUAGUCAAAUGGCAUCACAUGCAAGACUUGAAGAUAAAGUGGUAGUACGUCAGUUUGCUACAAAUGAACACGUGGGUCCAGUUUGCAUGAGAUGAUUAUUUGGGGUUGAGCUUUGAGUUAAUCAAAUGUGUCAGAAUGAGAUAAAGAUAAGUCAAGAUGAGUACGACAUGGGCUAAAGUGUUUAAACUUUGGCGAUGCAUGCACUUGGACUCAAAUAUGGGCACUAACAUUGCAUGGUUCCUCAGGAUUCUAUAGAAAGAGUUUCAUGUGCAUCCAAAUUGGUCUGAUUCCGUCAAAUCCAACAACCAAUGUCCAAUAAGGAUGGAUCAUUGUCAAGUGGUCAAUUAACGAAUGAGAUGGCUAUCAAUAUUUUUGUUUGUAUCAACUACUUAUCUUCAUGAGUCAAUUAACGAAUGGGAUCGCUAUCAAGAGUUUUAUUUGUGUCAACUGCUUAUCUUCAGGAGGUUCAAAUUGUGGCCAACUACGGAUGUUCAGCGAGAAACAUAAGAAAAUAGUGCUAUAAAUACAUAAGGUUGUGUAACAUUUAAGUCAUCUCCAAUUCAACACACAAACUACCCUGCACAAACCCACGCUCUAUGCAAAACCUCUCAACAACCUUGAGAUUUUUAUUUUCUUUUUCCACUAACACAUCUUCAAUUUGGAUAAACAACACUGUUGUCGUGGAAUUAGGCGAUCGCGGAGCACCUUCAAUUUGGAUAAAUAGCACUGCGUCAAGGCCGACUAGUUAUCUAUCCAAGUCUUGGUUGAGAAACAUUUUCGAAUCCUUAUUGGCAGAGGUCAUCUCAUUAGCCUUCUAGGUGAAGUGAGGUGUUACAAAUUAUUGGGCUCGGCACAUUAAAUGUUGAAUUGUUUAUGAUUGGUUAUUCACAAGUAAGUUUUAGAGUACGGCAUUCUGACGGCCGAACCACAUUCAUAAUCAAGACGUACAUCUCUUUUGAGUACUUGUGUCCGUAUAGUUUGGUGGUUUGGCAUGCUUAUACUCUUUCGAAUAUAAUCACCAUGACCGAACCUGGCGCCAAUGAUCCAUGAACUUCGCAGAACUAGCAGCCUUUUCUUCAGGCUCUAGAACCCGAAGGUCGAGACGUGUUCCUUCCUUGGUUGCAGUUGCAAGAUCAAGAAGUUAGCAGCGCGCCCAACGUGACGUCAACACAUUUUACUCCCUGGCCGAGCUCGGCCGAUGCGUUAGCACGCCCAACAUACAACCGAAUGACGUAGUUAGCUUUUUAAUUACUCGGCAUGUGCGCCACGUAGGCUUGGUAGUUUUUAGGAUCAACAAUAUCAUAAGUAAUUGGUAAGAAUACAUAAUAUUGCUAGGUAACAGUGGAACCCUAGUGCUUUUAUAAAUUGGUAUUUAAACUCUUUUCUUUUAUCAUAUUAGUUUUGGGCGAAUUUACUAUUUGUAUUUAAUUAAAAUUUGUUUUUAAUAUUACCCAAAUUCAAAAUCUCCUUUGUCAACUUUUAGUCUUAAGUAGUUUAUUAGGAAUUGUUUUUGCUUAAAUUAUUAAAAUUGUUCUUGUGGGGAACGACGUUGCAUGAGCAUCUAUACUACAACAACCUUGUACUCUUGCAAGUAUUUUGUGUGAUUUUACCCUUCUUUUUUUAGGUACUAAAAAUCUUAUCAAUCACCUAGGAAGGAAAAACAAUUUUUCACAAGUUUAGAGGCUGAGAUCAAAUUUCUUCUUAUCUUUGGCACAUAAAGCACUUAUUCAAUUGUAAAAUGAAACCAGAAUUCAGUUUUAACCUAAUUGACCCAACAACUUUAACUGCAACUUUUGUCCCUUCCCCCACAAAAACAUUAAAACCAUGCAUUGAGUUAGUUAUGUGAAUUGUGCAGCCGGUAUCAAACCACCAUGAGUUAAAUGGAACCUCAAUUAAGUUUGACUCUACACAUACAUUAACUAUUUUUUUUCCCAUUAGCUUUUAGAUAGUCCUUAAAUAGUUCACAAUCUUUUCUUAAAUGACCUUGAGUUUUGCAGAAAAAACACUUAAGUUUAGCUAUGUUUUUAACUUUAGGUUUAAGAUUGUUAGACCCUUUGGAAGAUUCAAAUAUUUUAGCAGAAAUACCAGUCAUAUCAGAAUUCCUAGAGUUCUUGAAGUUCUUACCUGAAUUAUUUCUAGUAUUGUAUGAUUUCUUCCCUCUUCCUCCUUGCACAAAAUUCGUAGUCUCAACAUCUUUGCAUUUUUCUUGCCUUUGUCGAGUUUCUUUUUUAACAACAAGCCAAUUUCUCUCCUCCAUUUCUUGUAGUUACUCCCGCCAAUAAGAAUUGGGAUAUUUGCUAAGUUCAAAGUCUUCAAGGAUAUUGUAGACACUGUAGAUGAAAUCACAAACAUGAAUCAAUUAUGUUCCUGAUUUCUUUUGCAGUUUGCACAUCAUAACUUAAAUUAAUGAUCCAUACAUAUAGACUUAUCAACCCAUGGUUGAUAAGCAUACAUAGAAUGACUGACUCAUCAAGAACUUAGUAAAUCACAAUCAGAUAUGCAAUAAUAGACAGUUCUCAUGCAUGUUGCAGAUGAUUUAUUUUAUUUUAUUUUUUAUUUUUUAUAUUUUUUGCAAGAUAUCGAAAUAAUUGCAUUCUUCAUCAGAAUAGUUAGUCUUUUAUAUAAAGGCUUCAUCAUUAAUAUCACAGAAUGUUAAAUUUCCUUGAACUAAUUUUGAUCAUCCUGUCUUCUACAUCAGAAUUUUGAUAAAACUCAAAAGAAAACCUAAAUUCAAUUUAUGCAUCAGAAUAAACUUGGAUGCAUGACUUCUACAAGGCAGUAUGUAAAACAAGACAUACCUUCGGUAGAUGAUUUCAAUUUGGAACAGCGCAGCGGAAUCAGUCAUCCAAUUGAACGAAGUUUAUUUUUAAUUCACAAGGGAAAACCCAAACAAGAUUUCAUAUGAAGAAGUUUUAAUGGAAACCUAAUCAGAAAGCCCCCAUCCAAUAGAAUUAUAGGAAAUCUAACGGUAACAUUUUUCAGAAAUCCAACGGUAAAUUUUCAAAGCUGUUUUGUUGUUAUCUGUUUAUUUGCAACCUGGAACCCGUGUUCGAUUCCUCAUGUUUGCAGUUUUUUUAUUUAUUUACAAACCAUUCGAUUUUAAGGCUGAAUCCAUAAACAUGUAAUUCAGGCUCAAAUACCACAUGUUAACAUAAACAUAUCACCAGAAACAUGCAAUAUGAACCACAGUACUUCAAAUACAAACCCAUGUCCAUAAACCCUUCAACACAUAAGGAAAAACUUACCUGUAGAUGAAUUCAAGGAAGCAGCAAUGCUCAAUUUCUGCAGCAAAGUAGCAGUGCACCUUCUCCUCUCUUCAGUAAUCAAAUUGCUCUUAACUAAUAAUAGAUCUUAGUCCAAAUCAAGCAACUCUAUGUCUAGCAAUAGAUUUAGAUAAUCGAAACUCUUUACGCUCAAUGGAUAAUUAUACGAAAAUGCACAAAUCAUAACCACCAUGUCUACUCAAUGAAGUAAUUCAUAGUGAUUGUUAUGGGAGCCAAUUUACUAAACACAACCUAUCAGUCACAAUUUAGUUAUUCACACAAAUAAAUGUCCAAUUAUUUGAUAACAAUAAAGCACAAUAACAAUUACUCAACAUGAAAAAUAACUUAGAUUAAUAUAAAAUAAGAGUAUUAGAUGUUCAUGAUAAGAGUACACACUAGCCCUAACAAAAGGACUCAAUUCAUGAUAAAAUUAACGGAACUUUAACGAAAAGCUUCCGGUACUAUUCACUUUAACAAAAAAUCAUAUUUUUACACUAAAAAGUCAAUCCUAGUACUAUUUACUUUACCCUUUAUUUUAUCCUUAGUGUUAAAACUCAAAAUUUUCAAGCUAUUUUCAUUAGUUUUCCUUAAAAUUAAAGUACACAAGGCUGAAAUUCGAAAACAUAGAGAAAAACAACCGGAAUUUCAAUCUCUGCUCCACAGCAAAGCUUGAAUUGUCCAAUUAAUUCCUUCCUCAUGCUCUCAGCUUCUCUCCCUCCCUGUAUGUGUGUUGCGCAGGGAGAUUCUCCGCAAUUUGUGCCGCAUAUCCCUUUUUAUAUUAUCUUCUUCUCUUCCUUUUGUCUCACGCAACAAGGAGAUUAAACCAAUUAAUCCACACCAAUUAAACCAAUUCGCACCGCUUGACUGGGAACGGACCAGCCCAAUUAGAGUAGGAAACAUACAACCGUAGUGUGUUUUUCAUAUUUUCCCGUAAAAUACAUGUUUUUUUCUCUCAAAUUAUAAUUUCUACCAAAAUCGCACAAAACGCAUUAAACCUAACAAAAUUAUGACUAAAAUUAGGUAAAAGAGAUACAACAAAUAUGUAAAUAUCAACCUAACAAUAUGCCAUUAGGUUUGUAAUUAGGAUCGAAGAAGUUAACUACUUUUUUUCUUUUAAUGGCUCUAUUAAAGGUCUAGCAAGGCAUUAUGUUUAAUCAUUUCUAACUAUGAAGAACUAAAUUCAUGAGCCCACUGAUCGUGAUGCAAUAAAAUUCAGUUCCAUUUUACUUUUAUUGUUCCGCAUGAUUAAUCAAAUUUCACAUAAAUGUGUGGAGUUAAAUAUUUGGUCUUUAUGUUUUAUGGAAGUUUGUACAACAAAAUUUUUAAGAUUGCACAUGAGUUACAUGUAUGUAAAUAGUAUUGCUUACCGUAUGUGUGUGUGUGUGUGUAUUUAUUUAGAAUUUUCUACAUGUUUCAUACGGCUUUAAACUUCGCAUCAUCACGUGGACACCUUCGCUAGUAAAACAUAUGUCACAAUGACAGAUUAUGUUAAGUCACCACAUUAAUAUUUAAUAAUAAAGUAAUAAUCAAUUUCAACAUAUCACAGCCCGUCCCGAAAUAAUUAGUUUCGACAGUGUGAAAUGACGACUUUACCCUUAGACGUUGAGAUUGUGAUGUGUGUGUGGCAUACUUUUGGGACAUAGACUAUUAUGUUGAGUUCCUAAGUUUUGGACUCAAUUAAAAGUUAAACUUUUGUUUGUUUUGGUUGGUGACCAAGUAAGGACACACACACACACACAAAAGCACCCCGUGCACUCUCUCUCUCUCUCCUUCUCUCGACCUUCCUACCAUUUCGGUACAAAACGUAUGGACGAACACCCAACUCACAUUUCACGCACGGAUCAACGUCAAGAAGGUAAGAUUCGAACUCCUUGCAAGUCUCUAAGUUCAUAUAUGCCAUUUUUAGAUUGUGAAACCCUCAAAACCUUGAGAAACCAUCACCCCCGAGUUGAGUAAUGUUCAUGUGGUCAUAAUUAUGGAUGUUUUAGGGGAUUUUAAGCUAGUAGGAAGCUUUAGGACGUUCUUACGAAGCUUGGAGAAGAAAAACCAAGCAAAUUGGACAUCGGGAAGUCGAGUUCAGAGAGUUUGAAAUUUGGCCGGAAUUAUCGUGCCAUCUCCAGCGAGAUCCCAUGAUUUUUGGAGCUUGAAAUUGGUAAGAAUAUGUUCUAAUCGUUGUAAGCUUCAAUUUGAUUUAAGUUUCAUGAAUUUUGGUGCAAAAAUGAAGAAGUUAUAAGGAUUUUUCGGUUUUCCAUUUUCCGGGCGACGGUCGCCGGAGUUCGAAGGUAGGAGAUGACGGAAUAUUCGGUCAAUAACGGUGUUAGUUAAUUUUAACGGAAUAUUCCUAACGGCCGUUAGGCCUCAGUUAAGGUUUGGCCGCGCGUGGGGGCGCGUAAGACCGUGUCCUUGCAGGCGCGUGAUGGCGUGUGAGGGUUCCAAAAAUUAUUUUAAAAUUUUGGGCGUGUUCGUGGAGUUGUGUAGGUCACGAUAGUAUAUUUAUAUACCUCAUUUGAGCAAUGUAUGAGAAGUUAUUAGCUAGUAUUGGUUAUGUGCUUUAAAUUAACGUUUUUAUAGUUGUUUCGCAUAUAGGGGAGACUAUCCUGAGGACGAGCGCAGUCAAGGACGACUCGGGGGCUACGACCCUUCGACCUACCAGUGAGUGGGCUUUUGGUUUUCAGUAUAUAAUUAUAUACUUGAUAUUUUUCCCAUAAAAUGUGUUUAAAUGAAAGUAUGCUUUGAAAUGUCAUGCUAAAUUUAUAUUCAGCAUAUGAAUUAGUAUAUGAUGCAUAAUAUGAAUUGGUGUUGUGGACGCUCAGGUAAGUUAUGUUUGUUAUAUGAGAUAUUGAUAAUGUGAUACAUGAUUGAGAGCUCAUAAACUUGCACCCCGGGUGAUUGUGAUUUAGCCAGAGAUAUAGUACAAGCAUAUUUAUAAUGUCACCUCCCGCACCAUAUGCUCACAUUGGAUCCAAUUUAGGUGCACAGUCUUGUCGUACAGACGAUUAUAGGUGGUUCCGACUUGUAGGUGACUAGCGAUUUAUUGCACAGCUAUCAUGAGAACAUAGCAUUGAGCAUAACUAUAUUACACCCAGUCUUGUCAUUCAGACCUUUGCAGUGGUUCCGACUCAUGUGCAGUGUAGUGCCGUUUAGGUCACUUACAGUGACUCUGGUUAGAUUGACUAAUGAGCUAUGAAUUCAGCCGUACAGACUUCUGCAAGGGUUCCAGCUAAUAUGUUAUUUAUCCAUGAAUUUAUUUUCACCUGAGUUAAUUAUUAUGUGUUAUGUUUUGGCAUGGCAUACUUAUGAAUAUGGAUAUGUGAAGCAUGAUUUGAAUAUAUAUAUAUAUAUAUAUAUAUGUUUAUAUUCCAUUUCUGGGAAAGUUAUACAUGUUUUACGGCGAGGGGUUAGAGCUUUUGAUAAAUGAAAUGGUUUUGAAAAGCUUUAUUUUUGCCCACUCACACUUUCUGUUUUGCGCCCCUCCAGGUUUUAGAUAAGUUUGUUCGUUGGUGGCUCACGAGGAUUAGUGGAGGUUCUGACAGACUAUCACAAUUGUAGGGCAUCUUUGGGUGUCGUUUAAUUAGUACUUAUUUUUUGGAUUGAACUUAGGCUACUUACGCUCUGAUUGUGUAUUCACACAUAUUCUAGCACUUGUCUUAACUAGUACUCUUAUGGAUUUGACUUUUAUUUAUUCGUAUUCUCUAUUAUCAUUAUUGCUUCCACACUGUGCACAUGGCUACGUCACUCUCACGUGACUGUCGGCAUGCCACGAUUUCAGUCGGGGUGUGUCACAACAUGUUUAAAGUAUGAUCAUUGUUGCAUGUGGAAAAAUUCACAAGUAGUAAAUCCACCACCGGUUCGUUUUAUUUUGAAUUUAUUAUUAUCAAAGGAAGGCAGAUACUUUUCUUGUUUGCAUAUGGUGCAAUAUUAUGCUGAAUAGGGUGUUGGAUUUCUACCCAUGCGUCUCAGAUUUGACCCCUCCCCUAAAAUAUUAUAGUAGUCUUGAACUCUCUCCACAUCCUAAAAAAGAAGAGGAAGAGGGUUUGACACUCUUACAAUAAUUUAGAAGAUAAAGAAAUUCUAAACCUAAAACACAUGAUGAGAACAUUCUAUCCAUAUAGUGAAUUGCAACUGCAUGUUUCUUUUGCUUGCGUGGUGUGCACUAGCUCCAAUAGCAAAUGCUUAGAGAAUAUGAUAACAUUAUUUAAAUUUGAAUGUAUUUACUUAACCACUUUAUUACCAAGUAAAUAUGGAUGACUUAAUUCUACAAGUUUCAUGUAACCCCUGCAAUGUUUGACAUGCUUCCCCUGAAAUUCUACAAGUUUUAUGUAACCCCUGCAAUAAUUGAAUUGUUCCCCGAGCCAAUAAUUGAUACGUUUGGUUAAUCUAGAGUCUAAAGGUUUCAAAUUCUGGAAUAAUUGACAUGUUCACGAUCUGCAAUAAUUGACAUGUUUUUCUCGAGCCAAUAAUUGAUAAACUUGGCCACUCUAUAGGUUUCAAAUUCUAGACCCUAACUUGCCACUUAGUACUACGGUCUAAUAGUAUUCAUCUUUAUUUGUACGUAAGAGGUCUUAGGUUUGAUUCUAUUCAAAGACGAAUUUGAACCAAUUUAUGGCUAGCCAAUUGUGAGGCUAAGAUGUUCAAUUCUAGUCAAAGACGAAUUUGAAAUAUUUUAUUGCUAGUCAAUUAUGAGGCUAAGCUCACUUCCUCCCCUUUAAUCCCCUUUAAUGUAAAAAAAAUAUCAUCUUAUAUAUAUAUAUAUAUAUAUAUAUAUUCUAAACCCAACUUAUUUUUAUCCGUCAUCCAACUCACUUUCACCACCUGCAAUUAUUGACAUGUUUUCCCCGAGCCAAUAAUUGAUAAGUUGGUUGCUCUAGAGGUUUUUCCAACUAAUUUUUUCCAUCGUCCAACUCACUUUCACCAUUAGAUUAACCAGAGUGGUUUGCACUGUGUACAUGUAUUAAUUUAUAAAGAGAUAUUUGUCGAUUUCCUCCCAAACUUGUAAAGAGUUGCUAAUUUUCUUUAUGAAUUUAAUUUUAGCAUAUUACUCUCUCAACUUUUAUAAUUAGCUAAUUUAUUUUGGAAUUUUCUAUUCAAUUUUCUAUCUGUUUUGGUCAUAUGGCAAACGUUUGAGGGCAAUAAAGUAACUUUAUUCCUAACAGCAUAUUGCUUUUUUUAUUCUUAUUCUUAGUCAAUUUUAGCCAAUUACUCUCUCAACUUUUAUAAUUAGCUAAUUUCCCCUGACAGAUUUUGGAAUUUUCUACCGAUUUGGUCAUAUGACAAAUGUUUGAGGGCAAUAAACUAACUAUAUAUGUUGAUGCACAAAAUCAACAAGGACCUUGGUACAAUAGAAAGUGUUAAGUUUAUGACCUUCGCUAGAUUGCUCCGGUCACUAGUCUGGAUAAGUAUGUAACUGGAUAGGGAUAGGGAGGCAAACACAAGAUGUACGUGGUUCACCCAAAUUGGCUACGUCCACGGAUUAGAGGAGUUCUCAUUAAUUAUGAAGGGUUUACACAAGUACAUAGGUUCAAGCUCUCCUUUAGUGAGUACUAGUGAAUGAUUUAGUACAAAUGACAUUAGGAAAUAUUGUGGGAGAAUGAUAUCCUUUUAUAGAAGAGUUUCUAGCUUUGUUCUGACAUUGACACGUGUCGUGUUGUGAUUGGCUUCUGAUGUUGACACGUGUCGCACUGAGAUUGGCUUCUGAUGUCGACACGUGUCGCAUUGUGAUUGGCCUCCUAGUUGGAGGGAAACUCUUCUGGGUCAUUGACGGUAUAACGUUGACCGGUGCUCAGUAGUUUCGGGAUUGGUCAAGUAUGGUACAAACAGUGCUCCCCUAAGUUCCCGAGUGAGGGAAGCUCCUCGGUUGGGGACUUGCAAGAUCCAAGCCGCUGAGUAAUCACGAAACUUCUAAGUACCGAAAUGUGGUAUCGUCUUCACUUGCCUUAUCUGUCUCAUAGGUAGAUGUGGCAUCUUCUGUAGAAGUAUUCUUUCUCCAUCCAGGGGUGGUAUCUUUAACCGGUGGAGAUGCACAAGGUAAUGUAUCAAUUUCACUUGAAGCUUACUUGUAGUUUCAGGCUUGGUCAAGCGCGAUACAAACCAUGUAGUAGGAGUCCCCCAAGUUGCCGAGCUAAGAGCUCUGUCGAAAAAGGUGAUAGAUAAGGUAAGCAAUCAGAACUCUAAGCAAUCAGUCCCAGAUCAAAAGUUUGAUUUCGAGUUCCGGCUGAUUAUUCUCAUUCUCCCUAUCUUGCAGGCAGCAUGAAUGAUAAAGAGAAGAAAAAGGAGAAUAGAUUAUAUGAGGUACUUUUGCUUUUGAAAAAGUAACUUUCCACAAGCUUAUUCUUGAACUGGGUUGGAGGGUUUUCUGGUUUCCUCCAGAGUAUAUGGCCGACUCAAGAAUUUGAAGGUCAAAAUAAGUCCAUCAAAUCUAAAGUACGUUCGACCAUGAUGAUAUGGGAUACGUUUGAUGUUGACAAAGUAGUGGAUGUAUCGGCACGUGUUCUGUUACGCUUGUCUCCACAUGUUUCCUUGUAUCAUUCUCACUUGCCCUAUCUGUUCCUCAAGCAGAUGUGGUAUCUUAUCUGGAAGCAUAAGAUGUUGAAGAUAAGUACUCGAGAGCAAUGCCAAGUAAGUAAUCAGGCAAGGGGUUCUAGGCAGUCAGUUCCUUACUAGAAGCUUGAUUCCAAAUGCUGACUGAUUGCUCUCUUUCUCAUUGUCUUGCAGGUAAGAACAAGGGUAAAGGAAAAGACAGGGAAAAAGCAUGAUAUGGGAUACUCUUGCUUUUAACCCUAAUGAUAUGAGAUACUCUUGCUUUGGUGUGGCUGGUUUGCAUAGGUAUUAUUGGAGGGGGGGAAGAAAGUUGAGUAUUUCGAAAGGUUUCGUUGGGAGUGCCCUCUCAGAUAUGAGGAAGGGUUGAGCAUUUUUACAGGUCUGCCUGUCCGUGGAGGAUGGAGAUCGAUAUAUAUAGGAGUCUCUCUAACAACAAGUAGUAAUGAUAUUCCUUUACCCUUCUUGGUCAUAGCAAUGUAGUGGGAGCUGCAAGCUUCACGUGUUUUAACUUUGUCAGAGCACUUUGAAAAAGUAGUAUGUGGUAUUUGGAAAUCUGAUGUUGCGUGUGAAGAUUGCAGACAAGCUUUAUCCAAGGAAAUCUGGCUCUCGAAGUUCGGAGAGCGGUGCUUCUUCGGUUUUCAAACAAGCAAUCCUGUCGGGGAUCUGGCUUUCGAGAUUCGGAGAACGGUGCCUCUUUGAGUUUUGAGAAAGCAAUCCUGUUGGAAGUCUGGCUCUUGAUAUUCGGAAAGCGGUGUCUCUUUGAUUUUUGAGAAAGUAAUCAUGUUGGGAGUCUGGCUCUUGAGAUCCGGAGGGUGGUGCCUCUUCGAUUUUUGAGCAAGUAAUCUUGUUGGGAGUCUAGCUUUUGAGAUUCGGAGAGCGGUGUCUCUUCGAUUUUUGAGAAAGUAAUCCUGUUGGGAGUCUGGCUCUUGAGAUUCGAAGAGCGGUGUCUCUUCGAUUUUUGAGUUGUUGGGAGUCUGGCUCUUGAGAUUCGUAGGGCGGUGCCUCUUCGAUUUUUGAGCAAGUAAUCUUGCUGGGAGUCUGGCUCUCGAGAUUCGAAGAGCGGUGCCUCUUCGAUUUUUGAGCAAGCAAUCUUGUUGGGAGUGUUUUCUCGAAUGUGAGUAAAGGUUGGGCAUUUUUUCCAAUCUGCCUUGCCACGGAGCACAGAGGUUAACACACAUAAGGACUUUCUAGUUAUCAAGCAGUGGUGUUGUUCCUUUACCCUUGUGGGUAAUAGUAGGGUAGUUGGACCUUUAAAAUUUACAUGUCUAAACUUUGUCAGAGAUCUUUGGCAAAGUUAUUUGUGGUACCCGAGGAGCUGAUGUUGCAUGUGGAAAGUGGUGCCUCCUCGAAAUCCGGAGAGUGGUGCCUCUUCGAUUUUUGAACCAACGGCCAUGUUGCCUUUUCUUUUAUAAGGGCACCAAUUGUGUGCAAGAAGUACAUUCAGAGAGUUAUUGCUUGUAGGAAUUUUCCCCUUAUUUUUGUAAUUCAGAGAUUUAUUAGACCUCAUUUCUCCUUCAUCAUUUCUGAAAAUGUCUGGCCCAUCCGACAGUCGUUUUGACUUGAACUUUGGUGAAGAGGCAACUAUGUCUCCUCAAGACAACAUAUGGCGCCCAUCCUUCUUAUCCCUUGCUGGUCCUAUUACCGUUGGAGACUCUGUGAUGAAGAAUGAUAUGACCGCUACGGUGGUGACCAGGAACCUUCUCACUUCUAAAGAUAACAGACUACUUUUCAAACGGUCUGAUGAGUUGGCUAUAAAAGAUUCCCUGGCUUUCAGUGUUCAGUGUGCAGGUUCUAUGUCUAAUAUGGCCCAACGCUUAUUUGCUCGAACCUGCCAAGUUGAAUCAUUGGCGGCUGAAGUGAUAAGUCUCAAAUAGGAGAUAAGAGGGCUCAAGCAUGAGAAUGAACAGUUGCACAGGCUUGCACAUGACUAUACUACAAACAUGAAGAGGAAGUUUGACCAGAUGCAGGAAUCUGAUGGUCAGAUUUUACUUGAUCAUCAGAGGUUUGUGGGUUUGUUCCAAAGGCAUUUAUUGCCUUCGUCUUCUGGGGCUGUACCGCGUAAUGAAGCUCCAAAUGAUCAACCUCUGAUGCCUCCUCCUUCUGGGGUUCUGUCCAGUAUUAAGGCUCCGAAUGAUGACCUUUCGGUGCCUUCUCUUUCUAGGACUCUGUCGAUUGCUGAGAUUUCUUCUAAGCAACCUUUGUGAAUGCUCUCUCUUGUUUGUUUAUUUUGACUCAUGUAUAUGUACAUAUUUGUAACUUAUCGGAGAUAUCAAUAAAUAAGUUUUGCUUCAUUUCAACGUAUUGUGUUAAAUGCACCAAAGUUUUCUUCACUAAGUUCUUUGAAUUUUUUUCUUUUGUUGAAGCAUGUAUGUUAAGCUUUGUGAGUGAAGCAUGUAGGUUGAGGUAGUGUUCCCUUAAUUUCCCGAGUGAGGAAAAUUUCUCGGUUGGAGACUUGAAAAAUCCAAGUCACUGAGUGGUCGUGAGACUUCCAAGUAUCAAGAUGUAGUAGCAUAUGGUAGGAGUCCCCCAAGUCUCCGGUCGAGGGAGUUGACAAAGGAGGUGUCUUGCUAGUAGCCAAGCUUCUAAAGUAACAAAACUUCACCAUUUUCCUUUCUAAGUGGUAGCCCAAAACUCCUCCUUCAUAUAUAUUUGUUAUGAAAGUUGUUAGGCCCAAAGAAAAGGAGGCCUAGGCAAAUUAUUUUUUUUUCGAUUUUUCAAAUUUUUGAAUUUCUGAAUUUUUGAAUUUUUGAAUUUUCGAAUUUCCGAAAAAAAAUAUAUAUAUAUAUUAAGCUUUGUAAGUGAAGCUUUGGUAUUGAAGCUUUGUUGGGUACCAUGAAUUGAUUUUGCUUCACAUUAUCUUGAUCAAGAGUGUGUGAAGCUUUUGUGGGUGAAGUUUUUGUGAGUGAAGCUUUUGUAGGUGAAGCUUUUGUGGGUUAAGCUUUUGUGGGUUUUGUGGGUGAAGCUUUUGUGGGUUAAGCUUUGGAGUUGAAACUUUUGUUGGGUACCAUGAAUUGAUUUUGCUUCACACUAUCUUGAUCAAGAUAGUGUGAAGCUUUUGAGAAUUUGUAGUUGUCCACCAUUGAUGAAGCUUUUGUGUUGAAGCUUUGUAGGGUACCAUGAAUUGAUUUUGUUUCACACUAUCUUGAUCAAGAUAGUGUGAAGCUUUUGAGAAUUUGUAGUUGUCCUCCAUUGAUGAAGCUUUGUUGAAUUUCCCUUUUUUUGUUUUUUUUUUGGGAAAAUUAGAAAUUUGAAAAUGGGAGGGAGACAACAUAUACAAAUUUUGCUUCCACAUUGUUGAGCAAGAGAUUGUAAUGCAAGCCACAGUAGUCGAAGGUUUGAAUGAACCAUAUAAAUUGAAUUUGCUUCGAACAUUCAUAAUCAAGAGUGUGUGAAGCUUUCUACGAGUUGUAGUUGCCCUCUAUUGAUGAAGCUUUUGUUGGUGAAGCUUUUAUGUUGAAGCUUUGUAGGGUACCAUGAAUUGAUUUUGCUUCACACUAUCUUGAUCAAGAUAGUGUGAAGCUUUUGUGUUGAAGCUUUGUAAGGUACCGUGAAUUGAUUUUGCUUCACACUAUCUUGAUCAAGAUAAUGUGAAGCCUUUGAGAAUUUGUAGUUGUCCUCCAUUGAUGAAGCUUUGUUGAAUUUCCCAAUUUCCUUUUUUUUUUUUUUUGUUUGGGAAAAUUAGAAAUUUGAAAAUGUGGGAGAGACAACAUAUACAAAUUUUGUUUCCACAUUAUUGAGCAAGAGAUUAUGAUGCAAGCCACACCUUAUAAUAGUCGAAGGUUUGGAUGAACUAUAUAAAUUAAAUUUUCUUCGAACAGUCUUGAUCAAGAGUGUGUGAAGCUUUCUACGAUUUGUAGUUGUCCUCCAUUGAUGAAGCUUUUGUUGGCACCAUAAAUUGGUUUUGCUUCACACUGUCUUGAUCAAGAGUGUGUGAAGCUUUUGAGAAUUGUGGUUGAACUCCAUUGAUGAAGCUCUUGUUGACACCAUAAAUUGGUUUUGCUUCACACUGUCUUGAUCAAGAAUGUGUGAAGCUUUCUACGAGUUGUAGUGUUUGCAUUGUUACAGAUGAGAAAUGUCUGAAGCAGAUGCAAGAGGGCUGAAUAGCUUGAUCUUCGUAUGCCAUGCACUGAAGUUGUUGUUGGCUUACAAUAAGACUUUGUUGGUGACUAUAACUCUUGUUGGGCAUAAGUGCUCCCCUAGUUAAGUUGUCAAGCUUGAAGGUUUUUGAUUAUUUGUGAAUGCUAGGAGUUCACAUGUACAAGUUGUACCAUUCAUCUUUUGGUAGGUGGAAUGAAUGGUGAGUUACUUUCAUCACUUGGUUGGUGGUACGAAGGUGAGUUCCUUCAUCACCUUUCAUCACAUUUCAUCAAUUGGUUGGUGGCACGAAAAUGAGUUCCUUCUUCACUUAGUUGGUGGCAUGAGUGGCAAGUUGCCAAAUAAUAUUAGAGUACGGGUUGUAUAUUUCACCACUUGGUUGGUGGCAUAAAGGAGAGUACGGGUUGUACAUUUCAUUACCUGGUUGGUGGCAUGAAGAUAAGUUCCUUCUUCACCUGGCUGGUGGCAUGAGUGGCAAGUUGCCAAAUAAUGUUAGAGUACGGGUUGUACAUUUCAUCACCUUGUUGGUGCUAUGAAGAAGAGUACGGGUUAUACAUUUCAUCACCUGGUUUGUGGCAUGAAGAUGAGUUUUUUCUUCACAUUUCAUCACCUGGUUGGUGAGAAUAAGGGCAAGGUGUCGAGGCACAUUGUAGCAAGUGUCGAAUGACACAAAGUAUGUUGAACCCUUUCGAAGCACAGUUGGCUUAUGUAUGGAUGUGUUGGAAUGUAUGAUGUUUAUGUAUGAAUGUGUUGAAAUGUAUGAUGUUUAUGUUGAUUGAUAUGAGUAAUGCUUAUGAAUGUUUUGCUAUGCAUGAAGGGAUCCAUGCUUUUGAUAUGUGAACCAUGUUGGUUAUAACACUUAGUAUCACAUAAUUUGUGUCAAAGUACGCAUGUUGAAUCUCUGAGUUGGAGUAUAAGGGUAGGUCAGCGUAGACCAAGUGUUCCAGUGCUAGGAACGCAAAAGACUCAAAAGAAGUUGUCUGAAUUCCCUUUUCUUUAAAUAUUUUCCGAAUGGCUUGUGUGACAAAAGAUCUCAAACGGUUGAGAGUCAAAACAUUUGUAAUGUGUAUGCCUUCUUAUAAUAGUAUUUCCUUCAGUACCUAGUCCUCCACUUUGAAAGAGUGAGGCUUGGCCCCAUAGUCAUAAUAGUCGACGGUACGUUCACCCCUGGUUGUCUUGAUACGAACUUUUAUCCCUAUUAUUGUAAUGGGUUUGCUGAGAGUAAAAAUCCUUCCUCUUACCAAGAGACAGAUACGUUUGGUGACUUAGUGAGUAGCUAAAUGAGGCAGGAGAUGAUGCAAUGGGUGUCUGAAUGGCCAAGAUCUCCUCACUUGGUAGAACUUGACUUCCACUUCCCACUUGUUGAUAGGGGUUAACCAUAUGGGGGUUCCUUUCGUAUGUCCUUGCUUCGGCGGAGGUGUGGUUGUAAGCCUGUGCCAUCACCUCAGAGUAAGUCUUCCAACUGUUGGCAUUGAUCAUGUAUUUGAAGAAACAAUCAUGUACGCCUGCCAUGAAGGCCUUGAGGGCGGUCUUGUCAUCUGCCUCAGCGCAACGAGAAUACUCAUGGCUAAAGCGACCGGCAUACUCUCAUAGUGACUCGUCCGGCUUCUGGCGAAUAGUGUACAAGUCAUCUGCAGAAUGCAAGUGAUCAGUCUGAAAGAUGUGUUGAGAGACAAACAGUUUCCUCAGUUCCUCAAAUGAGUCUACUGUCUCGCGUGUUUGAGUAUGCCUAGUUUCAUGGAGCUUCUCAAAGAGCUUCACACACUGCUCCUGGAGGACCUCAUUCUUCAUUGCUAUCUUGUUGUUCUGAGCUUCUGGCUCAUCAACUUUAGCUUGAAGAGCAACCCUCUUUCCUUCCUUCUUUCAUUGCUUCGUACUAGGUGCAAAAGGGGUGUCAUUCUGUGUGCUGUGGCUUCCUUCGCUCCCCAUGUUGGAGAGGGAUGCAUGGUCAAAAGAGAGUGUAUGAAUGGUGGAAACCAGCUUGGCAAAGCUGAAGAGAGUAGGAAUAAGUGUUGUUCCCACAGACGGCGUCAAAUGUUGAUGCAUAAAAUCAGUGAGGACUUUGGUACAACAGAAAGUGUUAAGCUUGUGACCUUCGCUAGAUUGCUCCAGUCACUAGUGUGGAUAAGUAUGUAAAUGGAUAGGGACAGGGAAGCAAACACAAGAUGUACGUGGUUCACCCAGAUUGGCUACGUCCACGGAAUAGAGAAGUUCUCAUUAAUUAUGAAGGGUUUACACAAGUACAUAGGUUCAAGCUCUCCUUUAGUGAGUACUAGUGAAUGAUUUAGUACAAAUGACAUUAGGAAAUAUUGUGGGAGAAUGAUCUCCUUUUAUAGAAAAGUUUCUAGCUUUGUUCUGACAUUGACACGUGUCGUGUUGUGAUUGGCUUCUGAUGUUGACACGUGUCGCGCUGUGAUUGGCUUCUGAUGUCGACACGUGUCGCAUUGUGAUUGGCCUCCUGGUUGGAGGGAAACUCUUCUGGGUCUUGACGGCAUAACGUUGACCGAUGUUCAGUAGUUUCAGGAUUGGUCAAGUAUGUUACAAACAAUAUAUAUACCCAUGUUAACUUGGAAUGAACCUAUAUCAAUUUAAAAUGUACCAACAGUAACUUGAAAUGUACAAUGUUAUCCAUUUCAACUUAAAACGUAUAAAUAUAUCGGCUUAAAACGUACCAAAUACAAACUAUCAUUUAAAAGGAAAUGUACCACUAAAUUCUAUUUUCCAAAGGUACCAUGGUAUGUGAAAAAAAUGGAAAGGUGGGUAAAAUAUGUGCAAAAACAAAAAGCUCACCCUUAAUUUGGUAUCGAUAUUGAUCAAAAGGUGUGUAUAAAAUAAUGGUUAAACUGCUAUUUGACCCCUUGAACUAUUAUCCCAGUUAGAAUUGUCUCCUGAACCAUUUUUUUUGGUAAAUUAACCCCCUAAACUAUUUGAAAUUGGCCAAUUACCCCCAUGUCGGUAGAUUCCAUCAAUUAUUUCGUCAAAUUCAAGGGCAACUUAGUCUUUCCAUCAGCAAUUCUUACUUGUCAACCAUAACCACCAAUAAAAUUAUGACAUAUGGACACAAAAUAAUGUGUAAUGACAAUGUGAUGUAAACAUUUUGUUUUUUUUUUUUUUUAUGUUUUACACAUUAUUUUGUGUCUAUUUGUCAUAAUUUUAUUAGUGGUUAUCAAUAACAAGAAUUGAUGAUGAAAUGACUAAUUUGCCCUUGAAUUUGACGGAAUGGUGGACAAAAUUUAACGGCAAGGGGUUAAUUGACUGAUUUUAAGUAGUGCAGAAGGUUAAUUUACCAAAAAAAAUAUAUAGUUCAAAGGGUCAGAUUUAACUGAGGUAAUAGUUUAGAGGUCAAACUGCAUUUUAUCCUAAAAUAAAAUAUGAAAGAAAUGAAUACGACCGAUAAGGGAGGAUGGAAGAGGGUCAACUGACCGAUUAAUUGAGGAAAGCAAUAGGGGCAUUAUAAAAUUGCUAAUGGUUGCAAAAGAAGAUAGCAGAAACAUAUAUCACGUUGGUUUGUAGGGCCCGACAAUUAAAAAAAAAAGUCGCCAGACCAAUUAAACGGCAUGGACGGUUUGGUUUAGUUGGUUUUUUAUUUUUCGGUGAGUAAACUGAACUGCACCGACUAAAGUCAGUUUGACAAGCGGUUCCUAUAAUUCUUGAACAUUAGUUAACCAAACCGACCUGUGGUAUAGUCAUAACGUGUGGUACAGUGAUUCAUAAUUAAAAAUAAUAAUAAAGAAGGCGGGACACCAAAUUUUACAAAAUUUUAAACAUCUUUGAAAUUUGACAAAUCCACUUCCUUCUCCAUGCCCUCAUCUCUUCCACUUUAUCUUCCUUUCCCCUUUUUCAGUUCCUUAAUUUUUGUCCUCUAUUUUUCUCUCUCUCACAGUGACUUCCAUAUCUACUCUAAUCCUAUGUCCUCACAAGCACCCCUGUUUAUACUUCCUCUCAAACCUUCUUCACGUUUCCCCAUUCGUCCCUCUACUUAUGCCAAAAGAACCCUUCUUCCUCCUCUAAGCCAACUUAGUGGAGAUGGGACUCUAUGCACCAGAAUCUCUUCAAACCUGCCAUCUAAAGCUUUGUUUUUGUAGCAAUUUACCCCAAUUUCGUUAAAAAGCCUUAUAAAUUCGGCCUUGGUUUCGCCCUCUUUCUCACCUCCGCCGCUCACUCCAUUGAUCUGUCUGUCCAUUGCUCCGCUGUCACUCCAUUGAUCUGUCCGUCGCUCUGUCGAAUCUUAUCGCUUCGCCAACCAAUAGGAAGAGUUUACAUUUGGAUGAAUAUUCCUUUUUUUUUUUGUUGGGUAAGUUUGAUUUUCAUUUGUAUCAUUUUUUUUUUUUUGGAUAUUCCUUUAUUAACGAGCCUUUGAUAAUAACUUGUCACAGUAAUGUUUUUCUUGUUCAAAAACUACCCCUAUGCUUAUUCUCUCUUAUGAAUGAUGGUGGAUGACGAUUGGGUUGCAGGGCAGUUUGCAUUUGCUAGCCCUUCUCACUUUAUGGCUUAGAAAUUCGUAUGCAAAUUUUUGGACGGAUUUUUAGGUUAGAGUUUUGAAUUUGAUUCUCUAUAUUCUCACUCAAAUUUUGGAACUUUGCUCUUGUAUUUUAAUUUUGUAUUAUAUUUGUUCUAAUACUGUUGUAGUUGUUUUGUUGGUUUGAUUGCGGCUUCCAUUUUCUCCACUUAACUAGUUCAGGGGCCAUCAUAUGGUUAGUAAAUUGAAGAUGUUUCCCUCAAUUUCAUUAAAUAACUUAAGCUUGAAUAAAUCUUGGUAACCAAUAUAUUUGAAAUAUGUCCAUUGUGAUAAAAAAUCAGUGGGAUUAUCCACUUUGUUUCUUAGGUAUGUGCAUGAGUAUGUCUUGUUUUGAUUGAGAUGUUAAGGGAAAAGCUCCAGUGUAAUAAAGAAUAGUUUGUACAAAGGUCUCUCUGUCUCUUGCCCGCUCUAUCUAUAAUUGCAUCAAAUUACUUUGAUGUAAAUAAAUGGCACUCCUAAUUUCAAGUUGUUUUCUUAUAUGUUUUGGUUGUGGGUGUUUAAUGAAUGGAGACACAAAUGGUGGCUAUAAAUGGUGCGACUCAUGUUCAUGGCUUCUCAGAAAAUGUAUUUGCCUUAUCCAUGUUCUUUGCCUAUUCAUUAUAUAUUUUUUUGUUUUCUUCCUUUAUGUGUAUUUUGAUGUGCACUCGAGUCUUUUCUCACACUAUAUUUUAUUGCUUUAUUUCAAUCUUUUCUGCAAUAAUGAUAGAUUCCCUUGUUCAAGAAACUUGGUUGAAAUGGUAAUUCCCAACUUCAAGUAAUUGUUUAUUUAGUACAAUGAUUGCAAAUAUAUUGACCGAUAGGAGAAUUCAGGUAAUGCUUUUUCGUUAGUUUUGAGUAUGUUUGUUGUUGUCGGUGCUUAUUGAUUUUCAAUACUACUGAAUGUUUGUGAUUUACGUUGUUUAUAAUUUCAAUUGUUCAUAGGUUAACAACAUGUUCAUAGUAUUAACUUUCAAAGACAUUUGAAGGUGUUCAAGGAAAAGUGAAGCCUUUCAACCGACUUUCCUUGUUAUUUGAGGCCUAGUUAAUGAUUCAUGUGUAAUUUGACAUUUCAUAGUAUAAAAUUAAAUCAAUGGUAGUGUUGUUAGCUUUGUACAAUUUGUAAUUCCUUAUUAAUAUGUGAUUAUUUAGAAAAAAAUUGUAUAUAUAGUAAAUUUCCAAUUUUGUGGGUUUAUAUAUAUAUAUAUAUAUAUUUUUAGAUUUUUUUUUAAUAACGGGCAUUACUUGUGGUAAAUUAAUAAUCCACAACGACCAUAGUACCCGUGGUGUUAAAUUCCAAUCUACAACGGGCACUGUCGGUGGUUACAUUAUAUUUGACAACGGGCAUAGCCCGUGGUCGAAACUGAGACUUUUUAUCACAUCCAGAUUACUAACGGGUACGAUGUCCGUGAUGGAUUGCAAUCUAUCAUGAACAUUCACCGUGGUAGAUGAGCAUUUUUCUUCUAGUGAUCGUGAAUCUCUCCAAGUGACAACUCUCUCUCCCACUCCGACGUCAUCCACAAACCAAAAAUUGAUCCAAACCAACCCGCCAUUAUUGGUUAACCGACAUGAUUGGUUUUAGACCCAACUUGAUCAGUUUUGGUUUGGAAUUUUAGCUCCACUGACUAGGUCGGUUUGCUUUUGAUUUUAGCCCAAAGCUGACCCAACCCAACCCAACCCGCACCCACCCCAAGUUAAUUGUAUGGUGUGGAGUUAGGAAGAAAAUGUAUGUUACAAGAGUAACUAUAUCAGGUUUGAUGUGGUUUAAGAUAUUUAAAACUUUAUUAUAUUUUAGGAGAUUUAGGAUAUUAAUAUGUAGUUAUUAAUUAAGGGAAUUGUUAUUAGCACUUUAAAAUUUUCAUUCUACACUUGUUGACUCUAGAAACUACCAAGCCUACGUGGUGCGCAGGCCGAGUAAUUAAUAAGCUAACUACGUCCUUCGGUUGUGUGCGGGGCGUGCCAACUCGUCGGCCAGGGAGUAAAAUGUGUUGACAUAGCAUUGGGCGCGUUGCUAACUUCUUGAUCUUGCGACUGCGGCCCAGGAAGGAACACGUCUCGGCCUUCGGGUUCUAGAACCUGAAGACAAGGUUGCUAGUUCUACGAAGUUCAAUAUCAAAUUCAGCUUCCAAUGUGCCAAAUAUAGUAACAUAUAACACCUCACUUCGUCGAGAAUGCUAAUGAGAUGACCUUUGCCAAUAAAGAUUCGAAAAUCCUUCUCGACCGAGACUUGGAUAGAUAACCAGUCAACCUCGAUGCAAUGCUGUUUAUCCAAACUGAAGGUGCUCCGCGGUUGGCUGAUUAUACGGCAACAGUGUUGUUUAUCCAAACUGAAGAUGUCACCGGUUGCCUUCACAAUGCUGUUUAUCCAAACUAAAGAUGUGUUGGCGGAAAAAGACAAUAAAAAUCUCAAGGUUGUUGAGAGGUUUCGUGUAGAGCGAGGAUUUGCGUAGGGCAAUUUGUGUGUUGAAUAGGAGGGGGCCUGAAAUGUUGCACGGUGUCCUGUAUUUAUAGGGAUGAGUAUGCAGUUGAUAAUUUUGUGGACUCCAAUUGCAACUCUACCACCUCCUCCCCGUGCUAAUACGCGAUAUCACCGCCACAUUUUAACUCUUGAUAAGCCAAUCCCUUUGCUAAUAAUUAUCACAACCUAAAUCGGUGCUAGCCAGGCUCAAAAUUUCAAAUACUUGACCACGUGCAUGCAUGAUAAUGACUCUGGGAAACAAUUCCAAUAAUUCAUUGUAUGCCAUCCUUAUCUCCUACUCAUCCCAUGCAUGAUAUAACUCACGUGGCAUAUCCCCAUUUGACCGGCCAAGUGAAAAUAUUACAGACGCCUCCUCAAGUUGAACCCCAUCGAGUCUAUCAUUAGUGAAAUUUGACGGUUGGGAGAUAUGUCCACCUAAAGGCCUUGAUUGCACGGGCCGAUGAUGUAAUUUUGGGUCCAAACAACACUAUUCACAAGUUUAUUUUUCUUUCUAGUUAUAGAGUUUAAAGUGCAAAAUAUAAUUUUUGGAGUGCCAAUAACAAUUUCUUUAAUUAAUUGGUAAUCUUGGAUAUAAUAGCUUAUGUUUGGCACGCUCAAAGUGUGUGAGAAUAAUUAGAAAGCAAAUGACAGGCUUAAAGUGUGCGAGAAAGUAUAUAAACCGAUCCACAUGCCCCAUGUAUUCAAAAUUAGUAUAGCAAGAGAAGAAUCAAUUAAAACAAUCACGAAACAGCAUAUUUACAUAUACAUAUGAGUUUGAGUAAUGAAGUGGGUGCUACUAGCCAUGAGCUUCUCGGAGCUCAAGCUCAGCUUUGGAACCACAUAUUCCAGUUCAUAAACUCCAUGUCACUCAAAUGUGCAGUUCAACUAGGCAUCGCAGACGUGAUUCACAACCACGGCCAACCCAUCUCUCUUUCCGAGCUCAUGGCCGGGCUCAAGGUCCACCCUUCUAAAGCUCAUUUUGUCUCACGCCUCAUGCGCAUCCUCGUUCACUCUAAUUUCUUUGCACAACAUCAUCAUGUUCAUCAUGAUCGUGCCGAUGUGGAGGAAGAAGAAACAGUUGUAUUGUAUAGCCUAACACCAGCUUCCAGGCUUCUUCUCAAAGACGGGUCAUUAAACACCACACCAUUUUUACUCAUGAUACUCGAUCCGGUAUGUAGUGUAUAUUCAAUUUGGUAGAUAACAUUUAUAGGGUAAAUAUUCUUUAUGUAUACAUCACAAGUCCUGGGAUUCAAUGACAAUGAAUAUAGAAUUUCUAGGAAAGUAUGAAAAACUAAUUCACAAUUAAUUACAACAAUGAUCCUAACUAGGCUUUUAUUCUAUCAGGUAGUGACAACCCCAUUUCACUUGAUGGGAGCUUGGUUGAAGAUAAACGGUGGUGAUGAUCCAGCUGCUACAUGUACACCAUUUGAAAUGGAAAAUGGAAUGCCCUUUUGGGAAUUGGGAGCUAGGGAACCAAGGUUCGGUAACUUGUUUAAUGAAGCAAUGGAGGCUGACUCCAAGCUUAUCGGAAGGGUUGUGGUGGAAGAGUGUGGAGGAGUUUUUGAGGGUUUGAAGUCCCUAAUGGAUGUUGGAGGGGGAUCAGGAACAAUGGCCAAGGCCAUUGCCAAUGCAUUCCCCAACAUCAACUGCACUGUGUUUGACCAGCCACAUGUGGUGGCUGGCUUGCAGGGGACGACCCACAAUUUGGGUUUUAUGGGAGGAGACAUGUUUGAGGAAAUACCUCCAGCCGAUGCAAUUUUGCUUAAGGUACGUAAUAUAUAUCACUCAAUUGUUUAUCUUAUCUUGUUUUUGGUUCAAUUUCCUAACUAAUACCCUUUUGUUAGUAAAAACAUCUCAUCCAUGUCUUUGCAAGUUCCAGCGAGCAUAGUUUGUCCCAUGUACAUGGUAGGGUCCACCUCUAUUAAAGAAAAUAGAGUGAGUGUGUUUAAAUAGAAUAUUGAAUAUAAAAGGCUCCGACUAGUAAGUGCAUUUAAAGUAAAUUGUAGCAAUGGUUCCUCAACUUUAAUUAAAUUUGAGUAAUGGUCCAUCAACUAAAAAUCUAUUACCAUUGGUCCCUCAACUUAUCAAAAUGUGUAACUAUGGUCCUUUUCAUCAAUUUCGUUAGAAUUUUGUCUAAAUAAGUUAUGUUUGAAUGACCAUUGCUACAAUUGGGGUCCCUCAACUCAUUAAAACAUGUAGCUAUAGUCUUUUUCGUCAACUUCGUCAGAAUUUUGUCAAAAUGAGUUAUGUUGGAAGGAUCAUUGCUACAAUUGGGUUAAAGUUGAGAAACCAUUACUCUAAUUGGGUUAAAGUUGAUGGACUAUUUCUCCAGUUGGAUUAAAGUUGAGGGACCAAUGGUAAUGAAUUUUUAGUGAGAGAUCAUAGCUGCACGUUUUGAUGAGUUGAGGGACCAAUAGUAAUGGAUUUUUAGUUCAAGAAUUAUUGCUCUAAUUGAGUUAAAAUUAAGGGACCAUUGCUACAAUUUACUCAUGCAUUUAUAUGCGUACAUACAUUGUUCAUGUAGUUGUGUGUACCUCUCCUCCUUAUAUAUAUAGAUUAAAGGCUCAUUUGGAAGUGUUUUUAAAAUGAUGAAAAACGUUUUUGUUGAGAGUGCUUUUGAAACCAAUCAUCAUUAUAAAAAAAAUGCAAUUGUAUCAUGGAAAAGCACUGUUAAAAAAAACACAUAACUAGUAUUUCUUGUAGGAAGCACUUCAAGUAUUUUUGGGAAUCCAAAAUUACUUUCAUCACCAGCACUUUCAAUCAUUUAAAAAACACUUCCAAACGAGCCCUAAUUAUAGAAAUAUUGUGACAAAUUGAGUAACGUAUGAAAUCAAUUAAUGAUCUGUAUCUCAGUGGAUUAUGCAUGAUUGGAACGAUGAAGAAAGCGUGACAAUAUUGAAGAAGUGUAGAGAAGCAAUAUCUCUUAGCAAAAACGAGGGUGGGAAUAAGAAGAUUAUCAUCAUAGACAUAGUUGUGGGAUAUGUGGAUAACAAGAAGAAGAUGAUGGAUAAGAAAUCAAUUGAAACUCAGCUCAUGUUCGAUAUGUUGAUGAUGUCCAUCCUCCCUGGCAAAGAGCGUAGCAAAUCAGAAUGGGAGAAGAUCUUUUUCGCUGCUGGAUUCACUCACUAUAACAUCACUCAUACACUCGGUUUUAGGUCUCUUAUUGAAGUUUACCCUUGAACAUAAACCUUCCUACUAGUAGUGUAUCAAUAAAAUUAUGUGGAUACACGCUCUAGCUAAUAUAGGUGGCUGCACUAUUAUAUUCCAUAUAUCUAAAAUAAAGAGUGUCAUCAAGCGUCAAUUUUAUGUGACAAAUAAAUAACAAGUUAAGUGUGUUGGUAUAAAUGUUUUUAUAUUGUGUCUUCAAAUAAUAUCACUUAAUUAUGCGCCAUAUGCAUCUAAUUUACAAUAUAUACAAUCAACUAGAUGAAUUGUCUUUUUUAUCUGUUUCUUUGGGUGUGUUUGUGUGUGUGUGUUAUUUUGGAUGGAUUUAGAAUACAAGCUGGAUGGAUGAAGUGGAAGAGUGCAUCUGGCGUGUUGUGUGACCGUCGUAUGCCACUGAAGCUCAAGGGAAAAUUUUAUAUAGGACGGCAAUAAGGCCGGCGAUGCUGUAUGGCACAGAAUGUUGGGCGGUGAAGCAUCAACACGUACACAAAAUGGGUGUAGCGGAGAUGAGGAUGCUUCGUUGGAUGUGUGGGCACACAAGAAAGGAUAAGAUUAGGAAUGAGGAUAUCCGGGGUAAAGUAGGAGUAACCGAAAUUGAAGGAAAGAUGAGAGAAAAUCGGUUACGGUGGUUUGGACAUGUGUAAAGAAGGCCUACUGACGCUCCGAUUAGAAUAUGCGACUAUGGGACAGAGGUUCAGGGCCGAAAGGGUAGAGGAAGACCUAGGAAAACUUUGGAAGAGACUCUAAGAAAAGACUUAGAGUACUUGGAUCUAACGGAGGACAUGACACAGGACCGAGCACAAUUGCGUUCAAAGAUUCAUAUAGCCGAUCUCACUCAGUGACUUGGAUUUUCCAAGUCUCCAACCGAGAAGUUUUCCUCACUCGGGAAAUUAAGGGAAUACUACCUCAACCUACAUGCUCCACUCACAAAGCUUCAACAUACAAGCUUCAACAAAAGAAAAUUCAGAGAACUUAGCGAAGAAGGCUUUGGUGUAUUCAACACAAUACGUUGAAAUGAAGGAAAGCUAUUUAUUGAUAUCCCCGAUAAGUCACAAAUAUGUACAUAUACAUGAGUCAAAAUAAACAAACAAGAGGGAGCCUUCACAAAGGUUGCUUAGGAGAAGUCUCAGCAGUCGGUAGAGUCCCAGAAAGAGCAGGCACUGGAGGGGGAUCAUUUGGAGCCUCAGUACUCGACAGAACCCUAGAAUGAGGAGGCAGCAGAGGUUGAUCAUUUGGAGCUUCAUUACGCGGUACAGCCCCAGAAGACGAAGGCAAUAAAUGCCUUUGGAACAAACCCAUAAAUCUCUGAUGAUCAAGUAAAACCUGACCAUCAGAUUCCUUCAUCUGGUCAAGCUUCCUCUUCAUGUUUGUAGCAUAGUCAUGUGCGAGCCGGUGCAACUGUUUAUUCUCAUGCUUGAGCCAUCUAAUCUCCUGUUUGAGACUCAUCACUUCAGCCGCCAAUGAUUCAACUUGGCGGGUUCGAGCAAAUAGGCGUUGGGCCAUGUUAGACACAGAACCUGCACACUGAACACUGAGAGCCAGAGAAUCCUUAACAGCCAACUCAUCAGACCGUUUGGAAAGUAGUCUGUUAUCUUUGGGAGUGAGAAGGUUCCUGGCCACUACCGCAGCGGUCAUAUCAUUCUUCAUCACGGAAUCCCCAACAGUAAGAGGACCAGUAGGGGAGACGAAGGAUGGGCGCCAUAUGUUAUCUAGAGAAGGCGUGGUUGCCUCUUCAACAAGGUUCAAGUCAAAACGACGGUCGGAGGGGCCAGACAUUUUCAAAGGUGUUGAAGAGUGAAGAGGUCGGACAAAUCAAGAUCUUAGAAGUGCAAGAAUGGAGCUUCUACUGGUGGAGAUUCAAGUGUGCUUUGGAACUUAAUGCCAGGCUCUAUAAAAAUCUGCACUCGACGAAGCUUCAGAAAUCGAAGAGGCGUUUGCUUUCUCAAAAGCUGGGCUGCUCAGAGACCACGAGGCGUUUGCUUUCUCAAAAGUUAGGCUGCUCAAAGACCACGAAGGCCGAUCUCAGAAAUCGAAGAGGCGCUUGCUUUCUCAAAAGCUAGGCUGCUCAGAGACCACGAGGGCCGAUCUCAGAAAUUGAAGAGGCACCUACUUUUCCAGCCUUGUCAGCACCUGUCAGCUUUGCGGAAAUUAUGGGCAUUAUGUCGAAGAUUUCUGGUGAAGUAGAAAACACAUGAAUCUUAGUGUUCAAUCACCCACUUCUCACACGCAACAUUAGCUCAUGGGUACCACAGAUAACUUUGCCAAAGUUCUCUGACAAAGUUGAGACACGUGAAGCUUGCAACUCCCACUACACCGCUCUGACCAAGAAGGGUAAAAGAAUAGCAAAGAAACAGCACUAACAAAGUUUAGACACAUAAAUUUUGAAGGUCUAGCUACCAUAUUAUUACCCACAAGGGUAAAGGAACAGUACCACUGUUGGAUAAUUGGAAAGUCCCUGUGUGUCAACCUCUGUGCUUCGUGGCAAGAUAGACUAGCAAACAUGCCCAACCUUUUCUCACAUUCGAGAAAACACUCCAACAAGAUUGCUUGCUCCAAAAUCGAAGAGGCACCGCCCUCCGAAUCUCGAGAGCCAGACUCCCAACAUGAUUACUUUCUCAAAAAUUAAAGAGACACCGCUCUCCGAAUCUCGAGAGCCAGACCCCUAGCAGGAUGGCUUUCUCAAAAAUCGAAAAGGCAUCGUUCUCCGAAUCUCGAGAGCCAGAUCUCCGACUGGAUUGCUUGUUCGAAAACCGAAGAGGCACCACUUUCCCAACUUCAAGAGCCGGAUCUCCUUGGAUAAAGCUUGUCUGUAAUCUUUACACGCAACAUCAGCUUUCCAGAUACCAUAGACCACUUUUUCAAAGUGCUCUGACAAAGUUAAAACAUGUGAAGCUGGCAGCUCCCACUAUCGUGUUAUGACCAAGCAGGGUAAAGGAAUAGCAUUACUACUUCUUGUUAGGGAGACUCCUAUAUAUGUUGACCUCCAUCCCCAACAGACAGGCAGACCUGCAAAAAUGCUCAACCCUUCCUCAUAUCUGAGAGGGCACUCCCAAAGAAGCCUUUCGAAAUAUUCAGCUUUCUUUCCCCCCGAUAAUACCUCUGCAAACAAGCUAUACUAGAGCAAGAAUAUCUCAUAUCAUCAGGGUUAAAAGCAAGAGUAUCCCAUAUCAUGUUUUUUCCCUGUCUUUUCCUUUGGCCUUGUUCUUACCUACAAGACAAGGAGAAAGAGAGCAAUCAGUCAGCACUUGGAAUCAAGCUUCCAGUCAGGAACUGACUGCCUGGAACCCCUUACUUUAUUACUUACCUGGCAUUGCUCUCGAGUACUCAUCUUCAACAUCUUAUGCUUCCAGGGAAGAUACCGCAUCUACCUGAGGAACAUAUAGGGCAAGUGAGAAGGAUACAAGGAAGCAUGUGGAGACAAGCGUAACAGCACACGUGCCGAUACAUCCACUACUCUGUCAAAAGCAAAAGUAUCCCAUAUCAGCAGGGUCGAACGUACUAUAGAUUUGAUGGACUUGUUUUGACCCUCAAAUUCUUCAGUCGGCCUUAUACUCUGGAGGAAACCAGAAAACCCUCCAGCCCAGUUCAAGAAUAAGCCUGUGGAAAGUUACUUCUUCAAAAGCAAAAGUAUCCCAUAUCAUCUCUUCUCAUUUUUCUUCUCUUUAUCCUUCAUACUGCCUGCAAGAUAGGGAGAAUGUGAACAAUCAGCCGGAACUCGAAAUCAAAGUUCUGAUCUGGGACUGAUUGCUUGGAGCUCUGAUUGCUUACCUUGUCUGUCACCUCUUUCAGCAGAUCCCCUAGCUCGGCGACUUGGAGGACUCCUACUACAUGGUUUGUAUCGCGCUUGACCAAGCCCGAAACUACAAGUAAGCUUCAAGUGAAAUUGAUACAUUACCUUGUGCAUCUCCACCAGUUAAAGAUACCACCCCUGGAUGGAGGAAGAGUACUUCCAGAGAAGAUGCCACAUCUACCUACGAGACAGAUAAGGCAAGUCAAGACGAUACCACACUCCGGAACUUAGAAGUUUCGUGAUUACGAGAUCAUUCUCCCACAAUAUUUCCUAAUGUCAUUUGUACUAAAUCAUUCACUUGUACUCACUAAAAGAGAGCUUGAACCUAUGUACUUGUGUAAACCCUUCACAAUUAAUGAGAACUCCUCUAUUUCGUGGACGUAGCCAAUAUGGGUGAACCACGUACAUCUGGUGUUUACUUUCCUAUCUCUAUCCAUUUAUAUACUUAUCCACACUAAUGACCGGAGCAAUCUAGCGACGAUCACAAAAAGCGAUCGUUUUCGCUACCUAGGAUCUAUCUUGCAAGAGAACGGAGAAUUAGAUGGAGAUCUCAACCAUAGAAUACAAGCUGGAUGGAUGAAGUGUAAGAGUGCAUCCGGCGUGUUGUGUGAUCGUCGUAGGUCACUGAAGCUCAAGGGAAAAUUUUAUAGGACGGCAAUAAGGUCAGCGAUGUUGUAUGGCACAGAAUGUUGGGCGGUGAAGCAUCAACACGUACACAAAAUGGGUGUAGCGGAGAUAAGGAUGCUUCGUGGGAUGUGUGGGCACACGAGAAAGGAGAAGAUUAUGAAUGAGGAUAUCCGAGGUAAAGUAGGAGUAGCCAAAGUUGAAGGAAAGAUGAGAGAAAAUCGGUUACGGUGGUUUGGACAUGUGCAAAGAAGGCCUACUGACGCUCCGGUUCGAAGAUGUGACUACGGAACAGAGGUUCGGGGCCGAAGGGGUAGAGGAAGACCUAGGAAAACUUUGGAAGAGACCCUAAGAAAAGACUUAGAGUACUUGGAUCUAACGGAAGACAUGACACAAAACCGAGCGCAAUGGCGUUCUAGGAUUCAUAUAGCCGACCCCACUUAGUGGGAAAAGGCUUUGUUGUUGUUGUUGUUGUUUGUUCGUAACUUUUUAAUUCAUGUUUGAUCCACCUCUUAUGAAAUGGUAAAUUUAAACUUGAGGGGUGAGAUUUGAAUAUUAUAAAUUUGUAAAACUAGUACCGUUAAACCGAGAAAAUUUGUCCCAAUUCGUCACACUUAACCAUUGAUCAUAUAUGACACACCUUGUGAUCCAAACAUUAAAAAAAUAAAAAUAAAAAUAAAAAAGCCUCAAUGUCCUUUAAUUAUUUGGACAACUUCUGAUUUUUUUUUCAAAAAGGUUUUGAUUGCUAGACUUUUUGGUCAAGUUGAGGUGUGGGAAAGCAGUAGUGUGAGAACGUUAAUUUAAAACUAAACUUCGAACGUAGCUUUGAUUUCAUAUUCUACGCAAACAAAAUUGGAAAGAGGCGGAGGGGUUCAUGAAUUUUUUUGAUAUAAAGACCUGAUGAUUCUCGAAAUUACAAAGCCUUUGUGGGACCAUGAUUUUCCAGGGUCGGUGUAAGGCUGAUCCGAAUACUGUUAUUUCAAAAGUCAAGUCAUGGACUCACCAGUUUCGGGUAGAGUUGUAUCAGACAGAGCAAGGUGCCAUCAUCACUCUACUUUGGGGCACUAGGCGGAGUCCUAGCGACUCUGCUUGAUGACCAUACUUGUUCUGCAAGACACAUGAUCUGAUCCGGAUAUGGACACAAUCAAAUCGUAGAAGUCUUGGAGUCCCUACAAUCAAGAGAGAGGCGUGUGCCGCAAGUAAUCACAAUUCUAAGAGGAUGAAAUAUCUACUUAUUAGAUAUCCUCUAGGACUCUCCCAGCUUAGAACGAGGAUUAUAUUCUAAAAAAGUCUCUCUCCCAUCUAAUAUUCAUCUACGGUAACACAAUCUAUACAAUUGAUUUCUCUUGCCCACUGCUUAAGUCUCAAAUCGUUCAAUAACUUGACCAUUGAAGAGCUUUUGGCCGGCACACCCACCCACCCCCCCCCACACACACAACACCCCAACCUAAGGUUUGCUUAUAGUUGUUUGACUGUUUUGCAAGUUGCUCAUGAUUACACGAAUUUGUGCUCAACUACCGCUCGUGGAGGUGCCUAAAUUUGGUUCCAAGAAUUGGUUCUUUCAUUGGAAGAGAACCCAUAUUCUUUCCGACCAAACCACUCGACCAACAAACAUGUGAGCUGAAGAAAGCUUGGUUAACGUCAACGUUAACCCAUCUAACGAGGGGGCUUACCCUCUGAUGCAUCAAAUUCACUUCCGUUUUUCUUUUGUUAUUCCACAUGAUUUAUUAAAUUCCUCUUAAAUGUGUGGAAUUAAAUAUUUGCUCUUUAUUUUUUAUGGAAGUUUGUACGAUUGACAACAUCUUUUAAGCUUCCACAUGAAUUACAUGUAGGGCUGGUUCGGUAUGGGAUACCGAACCAAAAAUGGCAUAUCAAAUCCCGAACCGAAAAUUUUCGGGACGUAAAUCUCAUGACCGAUCCCGAACCGAAAUUUCAGGAUUCCCGAAAUAUUUUCGGUAUUUCGGAAUUUCCCGAAACCGAACAUCAUCAGAAUCCAAAUCGUCUUAGAUUAAUAUUGAAAUCAUCCGAACUUGCAUUAAAAAUCCAAAUUGAAAUCAGAGACAUAGUGAUAGUGAAUCAGUGAAAGAUUUAUGGUCGAGAAAGAAGCAGAGUGAAGAGAGGGACCUCCUCCUGACCCGAGCCCCCAAUUCGAAACCCUAAGCCCUAAUUCAAAACCCUAACCUCAAUUCGAAAUCCCACACACACAGAGAAUCACUGGAGAGAACCGGAGGUGGGGAUGAAGCCAUGAGGUGUGGUGGUGGCCGGAGUGGAGAUAGUUCGUCGGAGUCAGAUUGCUAGACGGUGGGUGGUUGCUAAGCUUCAAAUCCGAGAAAGAUAGGGAGAGUCUGAGACUGAGUGAAGGCAGAUGAGAGGCGAAAUGAAAUGAGAGAGAGUGAGUAGGGAUGUUUGGCUUGGUUUUGGAUUGGGUGGAAGGAAAGGUUAGGUGGUUUCUGGGUUGUAGAGAGAGAGAGAGAGAGAGAAUACGAGAGAGAUGAGACAGAAAAAAUGAGAGGGAUAAAGGAUUAGGUAGGUUAUGAGUUGUAGAGAGAGACGAGACAGAAAAAUAAGAGAGAGAUGAAGGGUUAGGUUAUGGGUUGUAGAGAAAGGGAGUCUGGGAAAUAAUCAAGAAGAGAGAUGACUGAUGAGACAUAAAAUAGGGAAGAGAAGAAAGCAAGCACCCUUGCCUUGCGUGACCCAUCCUUUCCCAUGUGCUUGAUGCAACGUUUGUCAGCACCACACCACACACACACUGACACAUAUACAUAUAUAUAUACACACACACACACACCGACACAUAUACAUAUAUAUACACACACACACACUGACGCAUAUACAUAUACACACACACACACACCGACACAUAUACAUAUAUGGUUUUUGGGCAGGCCUUCUGGACCUCUCUGUGUGUGCAGAGAAAUAGAGAGUCUGAGAGGGAUGAAGAUGAGAGUUGAGAGGAUUAGAGGGAAAGGAUGAGCUGGCAGCCAAUGAGUGAUGGAAGUGAGGUGAAGGAAUAUUUUAAAAAAUAAAGUGAGAUUGUCCCAAGAGAUAAGGGACACGAGAGAGACGAGAAGGAAUGGGGUGUUGGCCCCACGUGAUACACAGCCCAAGGCCAAAAGACAAAAUCAAAUUAUUUCCCUAAACAUGAAAUUACCAAAACGCCUUUUACAACCGUAGUUUCCUAAAAUUUUAACCGUAGCUACAAAUUCAAUUCCACUUUCACCCACGCAUUUGUAGUGAUGAGCACUUGGAGGAUACGCUAAAGGAAUGUUUCAUACGUCUCACAAUACGUUGGUCAAUGAAAGUCAACGUCCUUGCCUCUAGGGCAUUUUUGUCAAUUCCCUCAUUUAAAAUUAAUAUAAUUGUCAAAUUAGGGACGAGUUGUCACAAUCUACCCACCUUAAAAAAAAUUUCGUCCUCGAAAUUUGAAAUAUUUUGUUAUGCAAAAAAUAGUGAAAAGACGGCAUAAAUAUAAAUAUGUAAAGUAGAUAUCGAGUUAGAGAGGUUGCAUGAAAGAGAAUGCCAUUACGUCGCGAUCGAAGUGCAAUGAUUCCUCUUUCAUGCCUCCAGACUUAUACUUUCCUUCUCCAUCAGUACAAUACUAUAAAUAAUACUUUUUAUAAAAACAUAACGUAAAAAUACGUAUAUACAAUAAUGUAGAAUUAAAAUAGUUGUAUUGAAAUCAAAACUAAACAUAGAAAAGUUUCACCUAUGCAAUUGUAGCGUCACGUACUCUAAAAAUAAGUGUAGUAUCUUAGUUCAAGCCCAAACAAUUAAUAGAUAAAUAAAUAACUAAAAUACUAACGUAGACGGGCCUACCUAUCCACUUGCUUAACGACCCCAAUGAACAAGUUAUCAAUAUUAUGGUCUGCAGCCUGCAAUACCGACAACUCACUGUUGUCACAAUAUGCAAGCAAUUAAUUCCCAAGGGUGCAAUAUUACCAUCAUGCCCCUCAUUGGGAAAUACACAUACAAUGUCUGAUCAAAGCCUUGAUUGUACUCAUGCACUUCCCUUUCGGGCAACAUUGUCAAUAUCAUAAAAUUUUCCAUAUCAUAAUCUCGAUCAUUCAAAUACCUGUUCGCAAUACUCAUUUGUCAAACAUGUAUUGCGCGUAAAAUCUUUAUACAACAUCCCAAAUGGUGCCAAACCAAGAAUUGAAAUAAUACUUGCAGUUACAUGCAACACUAAUGGAGAUAAGUGUUUAUUACCAUCAUGCUAAAAUUAUAGAACGAAUAAACACCACAUGUCCACGAAAGUUUGGAUAUUUCAUUUCGAUUGGCUGUUAGUCUGAAGAUGAAGUGUGGUAUUGGACAACAACUUAGUACUCAUAGCCUUCAAAAAGACUUCCCAAAACUUGGAAGUGAAAUGCGCAUCACAAUAAAACACGGUAGUGACAUGCACACCAUGUAGUUGAAUAAUGUAUCUCAUAAAUACCUUGGAGAGCAGAUUCAUUGUGAAAUUCCCUUGGAUUUAGCGAAAACUAUGUCGAGAAGACUACCAGAACAAUUAAGAAUUUGAGGGUCAAAACAUGUCCAUCGAAUCUAGGAUACAAGGUAACUGGAAUGAAUGCAUGAUAUCUCGUUACAACGGUAGCUUCUGAAAUAUUUAAUCACCAACAAUAACAAUUCUUUUAGAAAAGUAUUUGUUGGGAGAUUGAGGAAUUAAUGUUCACAAUUAAAAUUUGAAUAUUCUAGUGAUACUCCUAAACGGUUUGCCUACUUCAAAAUUAAUACAAAGUGCAGUAGGGUAGACAUGUACUCAAGGUUCAUUGGAAUGCCUUCCAGCACAAGAAGUGAGUAUGGAAUCGCAAUCAAAGUAGAUGUUGAUCGACACGUCAAAAAAUUAGAUAAUUUCAAGAAUGAGGAAUUUUUACCAAAUGGUCCAAAACGUAGUUCUUCUGGACCGACAAAAGGUGAGUUAACUUGUCAAGUUGAUCAGUAAUCAUCAAAACAUCAUCAUAAUCUCCACAUGUAUAAGAUAUCUCGUAUCGGGAGUUUACGGUGAUAUUUCCCCAUCUCUAUUUGGAUACAAGAAGUGACUAUAACCACUCAAACGAUUUCUUGAUAAUUCAAAAAUAACGUCAAAUCGAUGCAUGUGAAGUCGGGCUAGAAUGGGAUAGGAAAGGCUGGAAAUGUUCAAAGGUAGUUAUAUUUUUUGUAGUGGUAAACAAUAACUAUGUUUGCACAACUAGGAUGAUACACGAUAGUGCAAUCGUAGGCAUUGAUUUGGUUCUUCCAUGAUUGCUGUCAAAAAUUUAGUUCCCUUCAAAUGAAGAUGUAUUUGAGAGGUCUAAGGUUGAUAAAGAUUUUGAACACACUUCUCCACAGAGAAGUGUCACUCGGUUUCCAAAUGAAGAUGACAACUGUUAACUCUAGGUCAUGAAUAAGACGGUUCAUUUCCAACGAUUCUAACUGUUGGAAAAUAUAAGCGAUUCUUCGUCAUGCUGCCUCAGCACAGUUGAAACAUCCAAAGAACACACCAUCAUGGAUUUCCAAAAUGAUCAAUGUCAUCGAAAGGUGUAAAACAAAGGUAAGGUAAGACAACAGUCCAGUUGUCAGAAACUUUACUCAUACUCAACAUCGCAGCUAAACUAACUUUCCUCGGUCGUAAGUGAGGAAGGACACUAUAGCUGAAAAAUCACUAACAAAGUGUCGAUAAAUCGACAAGAUCAAAGACAUCUCGAAUUUCACAACACCUUGUGAGAAUUUCAACCUUCUUCCACUAAACCCUUUAUUUGUAUUUUUUUUGUUUUUUUUUUUGUUUUUUUUGGAAAAAGAAAAUAAUAUCGUUUACUGAGAUCACGUCUCCCAAGAAGAGUACCUAUUUAAAGAAAACUAACGUUUGAGAAAUUUGGUAUAAAGCUGAUUGUUGGGGUUUAAAGAAUCUGGUCUUAUUACCAAAGUGGAUGAGAAAGUCAAUGAUAAGACUACUAUGAAUUCAAUUGGCUACGAAAGAAAACUCAGGCUCAAGAAGUUGGUCGGAAAGACCAUCAAUUCAAAAUAGGGGCUAACGAUUUUUCGUCGUCACCUGAUUGAGUCGCUAAAAUCUAGAUACGAUCCCAAGGUUCGGCCUUUCGUCUUCACAGAUAGGUCUGAGGUUCCCUAGAUAAGGUGUUUGUUGGAUAAAUUCCUAAUCCGUAAAAUUUUGUAACUAAGUUCUCUCAUUGAUGUAGAAGUUGUUUGAAAAGAUGCAAGGAAAGUUAGUGUGGUACGAGAAAGUGGAUCGAUGGUGUAACCAACUUCCCGCUUCAGUGGUACCUCAAGUAAAAUUCUAAGAAAUGACGCCAGAGAUAUGCAUCCUCAAAACAUACGAUACUAUUUCCUUCUCUACGACACGUGCUAAUAGGUCUUCACAGCUUUCUCAAUUUUCAAUUCACUAUAACAGUGAGAAACUAACCCGUACUUCGAUUCUACUGUCUACCUGCGGAAGUGAUCGAAGAGGUGGCUAGUCGGAAAGGUUCUGUUUAUCUAGAUAGGUGAUAAGGUAAAAACAACUGUGAGUUUAUCAUCCUAAUACAAAACCUGCUCCUAAGUUUCCACGAUUUAGUUUCUUCGGCUCAAGUAGUCACUGUUAAUAAAUCUAUUAGUCAUGUCGCUAAUAAUGCAUAUAUGAUACUUUUGAUAUUUUUGAUAUUGUUCUUUACCUUCAAACUAUGAACUGGUGUUCUGGCAUAAGGGUAUCACUCCCAGAUACUAGUACAUGUGCCCGGUAUCAGAAAUCAUAACGCCUGAAUACUAGUUGAUAGUUUCUGGAUAUCAAACAGUAUCGUCAAUUAGUAAUGCCACCAUAGGUUGAUUACAGAUUAGAGCCCACUCGGGGUAGGUGGUUUCAGAUGAUUGGUAAGUAACGGGUCAUGUGAGGUGGUUUCCUUGAUUCUAGGGGAAUUUGAUGACUGCUUUUAGGAUUUCUGCUACCCGAAAGUAUAACAACUCAAACACAUGUGCCUAUGCUCGUCAAAAUGAUGAGUACAUCACCAAAAGAAAUUAUGAAAACUAGUAUUGGUUGGAACGUUCUAAAGCCGAAAAAAUGAAGUUGCUAUUAAUCUACUUCAGAACAAACUUUAAACGAAAAUCGAUCUUUCUCCAGAAGAUCUGAAAUGAUUACCAAUGUGAUUGAAAAGAUUAGUGCUAUUGGGGACCAAAAGUGGCUGUCCCCCAGAUAUUCUCCUAUCAAGUGCUACCACUUUAGCACCAGUUUGUCGCUCAAGACAAUUCUGGAAUCUUGACGAAGUAAACUUCGUAGGAAUUCUAAUAGAUGAUAUACUAACAGGUACUACCAAGGAAGCAAAACCAUUUCUGGUUUCCUAACUCGAAAGGGUUGGAAGAAAUCAUUAAAUGGUAGUGGGAUUGAUCAGUAGAUCUUUAGUGGCACACAAUUAUUGAUACAUUAGCCCUGUUUUAAGGUCAUCAACUUCUCUUCGUUCGAGAUAUUUUUUUCCUCGGUAGGGAGGUUCUUCAUUUAAAUCUAGAGGCGUCCACCAAAAUGAUGUUCUAAAAUGUCGAUAAGUCGUCUAAGUCACUCAAAACUUAGAAAAAGUUAACACAUUUUCAUAUUCGACAAGGUGGUAAGAUUCGAUACUUAGGUUCAAGAACCAAGAAUGCUUGCAUCACGCGUGUGAUGAAUGCAAUACUACUCAAACUUAUCCUCUGAUACCAAACUAACACACGCCAACGCAAAAUGUCCAUUACGACUCCAAAUCAAGUUGUGUUGGUCAACACUUGGAAGAUGACGAAGCCAUAAAGUGUAGCGAUGUGGAAAAUGUGUAUAAACUUAAACCUAAAAGUGCCUAGAUGCAUUGUGAGAGGGAACACGUGAUGUCAGAGCAUAAGUACAGUACAAUAAGAUAGGGUGAGAAUUACACCAUCAGGGGUAAUCGCCUACACCAAGAUUUGCCAAGAAUCUUUGUUGACACAAAAGCUAAGAUGCUAAAACCUGGAGGGGCACAAAACAAAGGUGAAUGGGCCUGAAAAUAAAGUUUUAAUAAAAACCUUUUGAAAACAUUAUAACCCCUUGCCGUAAAACAAGUAUAGUUUCCAAAAUAUACAUACUAUGUAUAGUAUAAAAAUGCUUACCAUAACCAACAAUAUUUCAAGGAUGCCAUACGUCACAUUUUUUUGCCUAAAUAAAAAUAUCACAUCGAAUGCUCAUUGCUAAGUCAUUUUCAGAGUUCUAUAUAUGGAUUUGAAUCUAGGAAUGAGAAGGAAUGAAAUGUACCAAUUUGAGGUCUAAAUGAGGCCUAAAGCAACCGAAAAAAUGGCCUGAUGGCCACGGUUCGAUUUCUGGAAAUCUGGGGAAAAACUUCCCCGAGGUAUUUCUGCAUCAAUCUUUCUCCAAAUCAAUUACAAGGCUAUAAAAGACAUCAGAUCAUGAUUAAAAAGAGAACAUGAGGAAUCCUAAGGUUUACCUUGGUCGAAAUCUUGAAAAAUCUCGCCGGAGUUGGCCUAGUUAGGUGACUAUGCACUGUUGCUUUCUCCAUACCAGUGGAGGUAGAAAGGAUGAGAAAGCGACUGAGAGUUUGGAGAAAGGCUUAAGAGGAACAAGGAUGUGGUGGUGGUCGAGUGAAACAUCAUCAUUAGGGUUUGGUUUUUGGGCAAACCUUCUAGACCUCUCUGCGUGUGCAAAGGAAGAGAGAGUUUGAGAGGGAUAAAGAUGAGAGCUGAGAGGGUUAGAGGGAAAGGAUGAGGUGGCAGCUAAUGAGUGGUGGAAGUGAGGUGAGGGAAUAUUUAAAAUAAAAAUAAAGUGAGAUUGUCCAGAAAGAUAGGGGACACAGGUAAGAGGUAGAGGAAUGAAGUGUGGGCCUCACGUAUUACACAGCCCAAGGUCAAAAGAUAAAAUUAAAUUAUCUCCCGUAAACCUGAAAUUACUAAAAUGCCUUUUAGGACCGUAGUUCAAUAAAAUUUUAACCGUAGCUCUAAAUUCGAUUUCGUUUGUGCCCACCCGUUCAUAGUGACGAGCACUAUGAGGAUACGCUAAAGGAAUGUUUCAUAUGUCUUACUAUACGCUGGUCAACGAAAGUCAACGUCCUUACCUCUAGGCAUUUUUGUCAAUUUCCUCCUUUGAAAUUGAUAAAAUUGUCAAAUUAGGGACGGGUUGUCACAUACUUCAAUUUCUGAUGUUUACCAGUGGAGUGGAGCUGAGCAAAGGAAUAACAAGUCGUCGAAAAAAAAUGACUACUUUCGAUUGAUGCUCUACCAAAGGAAUAAUAAUAAUGUAGUUAAUCAAUCUCUUGGAUUACGUGGAAUUUCACGAUAUCCAACAAGAUAAGGUUAACUAGCAAUAUUUGAUUGGUAAUGAUAAUAGUGCAAUCAUUGCACUCACGCAGGACAUAACAGACUUGUCUUGUGGCACUGGAAUUGUCGAGAUGUUCCCGACUAAGGUACCAUGUGAUUGAAGUAUUUGAACAAACAAAGAUAAUAUGACUAACUGGUGGUUAAUGUCGUUGUCCUAACUACAGGUUUGCUAUUCUCUUACAUGGCUUGCUCCUAAGUUUCUAUGAUUGUGGUUGUGUUGGCUCUAAUUGUCUUGAUAAGUGUGUAUGUCAGUGGUGCCACUACCUAAUGUUUUUAUGGUAUUCUAGUAAUGUCUAUCUCCAGGGAACAAUGAACUAGUGUCCUGGCAAUGGUAUGAUAUCCAUAUACCACAUUAUAUUUUCAAUAUAGAGAAAUCAUACUGCCUGAAUACUAGAUGAUAGCUCCCAAAUACAAGACAAUCUCGUUUUGGUGACAAUUACGUCACCUAGGUUGGCUACUACCUAGGGCACAGUCAGAAGAAUAAGUAAGAUUUUCUAGGAAGGCUGCUCCUAUGAGGUGAAACUAGCCUAAGCUUGAGAAUGGGAAAUGUGGUUAACUUUAUCUUAGAAUGAGAUUUAUCGAAAUUCGAUCUUCCUCCAAAAGACCCGAAAUCAUAACUGCUAUGUUUGAAAGAUUGAUGUUGUCGGGGACCAAAUGUAACUAUCCCCCAGAUGUUCUCCCGUUAAUUGCAACCAAUUCUGCACUAAGAUUGUCACUCAAGACAUUUUCGGAAACAUCAAGGUGAAGCAAAAUCUCAAGGAAAUUUUGGGAGGUGGCACAAAAAUAAAAAUUGCUAAGGAUGAAAGAAUUUGCAGUUUCCUAAAAAGAAGGGUUGGUAACGAUGGUUAGGUUGUAGUUGGGAUUGGUCAGUAAAAUCUUCGGUGGUACACAAUUAUCAAUAUGGCUACCCUACUUCAGGGUCAACAAAACAUCUCCAUUUUAGGUCUUUCUUAGGCAAAGAGGUUCUUCACAUAAAGUCUAGUCGUGGUCGCCCAAGUGUUCUUCUAAAAGGUCGAUAAGUCGUCAGAAAAAUGUCAACAAUAGUCAUUCCAAGUUGCCUAAAAUUCGUGAAAAGCUGGCAUAUUUCGUGCCUGACGAGGUAGCAUAAUUAUGACGUUAGAAUUCAAGAACCAAGAAUGCUUACAUCACGUGUGUGAUGAUAGCGAUACUACCUAACCUAUGCUCUGAUAUCAAACUGACACACCUCAACCCGAAAUGUCCACCUGGACACCCAAAUUGCAAUGUGUUAACCGACACCUGGAAGGUAACGAAGCCAUAAAGUGUAGUGAUGUGGAAAUUUUGAAUAAAUUAAAACCUAAAAGUGACUAAUUUAGAGUGCGCAUGUGAGCGGGAUUGAACCCAUAUCACACAAGUGAUGUCAGAGCAUAGAUAAAUUGCAAUAAAAUGAGAGUAAAGACAUUUAUACAGAAAGGAGAAGUCUCCUACAUAACAGCUUUUACCAUCAAUAUUCUUCACCAUGAAACCUCUGCCACUAAAAUCCUAGAAGGGCAAAAAAUAAAGGUGAGUGGGCUUGAAAACAAAGUUUUGUAAAACCUUUUCGAAAAGUGUAACCCACUGUAAAACAAGUAUAUGGUUUCCCAAGAAUAUUAUAAUACUAGUAUGUAAUACGGUACCCUGCAACAAAAGUGAGUUGAAAGAUGUAUGGUAUAACGACAGGUCUCCUUAACAUUAAAUCUCAAAUCAAUAUCAUAAGAAAUCAAAGCUCAUUAAUUUAUGUAGGCACACAAGUCCAUUGCAUAGAUAUUCAGACAAUGGAACAUGCUGGGUGUAGGUUUUACACUCUAGUACUACAUCAUGUGAGCUACGCUAGUUACAUCACAUACGAGUCCAACACAUCAAUGCAAAUGGACAGGCUGGCACCUAACUCUGGAUCCAAAGCGAAUGUAAACAGUGCAUGCGAAGCUAGUGCUUGGCCCAAGAUAGUACAAAUAACUAAAAGACACCAUGCAAACAUGUAAUAAUGAGCUAAUAAAAUGCAAGGAUGUCAUGCCAAAAGUUUAUGCUCACAAAUAAUAUUAAAAACAUGUAGUGUACGAAACGUCUAUUUGUAAAGCUAAACAUGGCAUGUCACAUCACAAUAUAUAAAAGCAGUUGUUGGAAAAAAAUCACAUAUACAUAUAUAUCCGUAAAAACAAAAAAACUCACUCAUGUAACCGUAACGCACUCGCCGUCAAUGAGCCUUGUCAUUUGUCGAAUAAGCUUGUACCUAUAUCCAGUCACAUUGACUUUAGCAAGGUACUUAAACAUAAAUCAUACAAAUGAUGGACAGAUUAACUAUAAUCUGUCCAAAUUUUGCAUUUUACAAAAUUACCUCUAAAACUAGAGGUAAUUGCAAAAAUGCCCCCAACUUCUUAGAAUUACCAUACAACACUAAAGCUUUAACAAGUUUUUGCAGUUUGGUCCUUGUUGCAAAAAGAGUACAGCGACAUCAAUCUUUUCUAAAAUUUCCUACCAAACAAGCAUGUACUAUAUGAAUUAGAAGUUGGGACAAGAGAAACAUAAGUAUACCAGAGGGUCUCAAGGUGGCCGGCGAAAUCGAAUUUGGCCAGAAUCUCACGGACCUAAGAGGGUAUUUCGUCGGACUUCGGUUAAAUCGAGAACGAUUUGAGCAUGCAAGCUCGAAUUCUGCUCCUUGUGAUGAUGGAGGUUAGAAACCAGAGCCUAGCUUCGCCUGAAAUGGAGUAUAAUAUGAUUUUUCAUUUAUGUAUGUAGGCAGUGCUAUAUACAUCGAUCCGCAUACCCAUGCAUUCAAAAUUAAAAUAGCAAGAGAAGAAUCAAUCCAAAUAUUCUCGGAGCCACAUACUUACAUACACAUAUAUACACACACAUGGGUUUGAGUACUGGUGAAGUACGGGCUACUGGCCAUGAGCUUCUCGAAGCUCAAGCUCAGAUUUGGAACCACAUAUUCCAGUUCAUAAACUCCAUGUCACUCACAUGUGCAGUUCAACUGGGCAUCCCAAACAUGAUUCACAGCCACGGCCAACCCAUCUCUCUUUCCGAGCUCAUGGCGGGGCUCAAUGCCCCCCUUCAAAAGCCCAUUUCGUCGCACGCCUCAUGCGCAUACUUGUUCACUCCAAUUUCUUUGCACAACAUCAUCAUGUUCAUCGUACGACCAGAAAUCAUUUCAAAAUUUUGAAAAUUAAAAUUAAAUAUAAAUUGUACCUAACAAUUUCUGACCGAACGAUGUACGAUGAACGGUCACGAUCACGGGAUCCCUAUGAUUGGCAAAAAAGGAUUUGACAAUGAUCAUUUUCCAAUUAUUUGUACAAUUUUUCAAAAAGGUUUCUAUUGUAAGACUCUUUGGUAAGGACAAGGAUUGUCUGCUCUCCCUUUUUCCAUGUCCUUCCAUGCCCUCUUGUUUUGUGUGGUCACAGUUAAGCCACGUUAACAUUUUAUAUUAUUUUUUUAUAAAGAUAAUAAGACAAAAAUGAAUAGUAAUAUAAAAUGUUAACGUGGCUUAACCAUGAUCACACAAACAGGAGGGCAUGGAAGGGCAUGGAAAAAAGGAGGGCAGACAAUCAUUGUCCCAUUGGAAUAGUGGUGGUGUAAGAAAGAUAUGGUGCGAUUGAAUUGGCGCCCACCCCUAGGCAUUCAAAAACAAUGGAGGUGGGAUUAAUCACCAGCCCAUCCUUAUUCAGACUUGCGAAGGGGAAGGGGGAGGGGGAGGGGAGGGUGGAUGGGGAUUACAGCCCAUCCCUUGAUCAAUAUUAUUAGGUAGAACAUUACAUGUGAUGUGCUACAGCGACCAUGCAAUGCAUUAAAAGUAGAUUGAUAUAAGGGAACUUUAACGAAAAGUCCUGGUAUUAUUCACUUUAAUGAAAAUCAUAUUUUUACACUAAAAAGUCAAUCAUGGUACUAUUCACUUUAUCCUUUAUUUUGUCAUUUUCGUUAAAAUUCAAAAUUUUCAAAUUAUUUUCAUUAGUUUUCCUUUGAUAAAAUAUAGAUACAAUGAUAGUAGCCAUUUGUUGUUGGCACGACCUGAAUCCAGAAAACCUUCAUAUGUAAUCUUUCCAUAAAAAUAUAAAUACAAUGAAAUAGCAAAAUUCAUUGUGCAUCUGGAUAUUGUGUGUGUGACUAGCGCUCGGUGGAUAACGAUGCAAUGCAUUAAAAGUAGAUUGAUAAAAUAUAAUUUAACACCACAAAAUUCGUUCUGUAUAGGGAUAUUGUGUGUGAUUAGCACUUGGUGGAUAACGAUUUGGAAGGUAUUUUCUUCGUUUUAUUUUAAAAAAAUAUAAAUUAGUUAAAUUAUAUUGAAAUUAUGUUGUUAUAUUUAUAUUAAGUUGUUAAAUUAUAUUUAUUACAAAACAAUUAUGUUAUAAUUAAGUAUAAUGUUGAAUUGUAUAUGAACAAAUUUUUAUGUGUGUACAAAUGUGUUGUGAUGUAAGGAGUUAAUUGUAAUUAACUUCGUACUUGUUUUUUUAGUAAACUUAGUUUAGUUUGAGGAAUAGUUGGAUGUCGCGUAUGGUUGCGAAAGUAUGAUUGUGGUCCAAUUGAUUUUUGAAUUGUCCCAUUAUUUGGACAGUUUGGGAAUGCAAAGUUAUGCCGCGUAGUUUACGGUUAAAGUAUUAGGUUUCGGUCGUGGGGAUUUUGAUGUCAUCUCUGUACGUUCUUCGAGUGGCACAUAGGUAUUUCAUAUCUAUGUCGUGCACUUGAAGAACUGUACAAAGAUGCUGCCGAAAUUUAUCCACGUCAAAAUCUAAUCUGAAGUAGGCAUAAAUUACGUGACAUGAUUUGCAUUCCCGAAUGGGAUAUGGCCAUUACCAGACGCAUAAGGUGGCAAGAUCAUGUAAAAAUUAUUGUGAUUAUUGUACUGUUAUUGUGGUUGUAGGAAUGAUGGACAGAAUGUGGAUGCAUAACCCAAAUAGAUGCCACCAACAAAUCCGGCUUGUCGAAACACGUGCAACCCAGGUGCAACUAGAAUCCAGUGUCCAUGUAAAAGGUGUAACAACAUGUUAAGGGAAACUAUUGAAAAUGUUCGAUUGCAUUUAAUAAGGAAUGGAAUGGUAGAGACCUAUAAUAUUUGGAACCUUUACGAGGAACAAUUACACAAUGCAUCAUCUUCAAACGUGACAAGUAGGCAAUGUUGAAUAUAAUAUGGAUCCUAAUGAACAAGUCAUGGAAAUCUUAAAUGAUGUUUUUCCAUUUGCGUUGACAAAUACCAAUUAGGAAGUGGAAGAUGACGUGCCUACACUAAUGGAUAGUGGAGAAUUCGAACAAUAUGAACAACCAAGACUUAUACCCGGGCUAUGAGGGAUUUUCCAUUCUCAGAGCUAUUGUGCAACUAAUGCACGGGAAAAUAAAGUAUCAUAUAUCGAACUAGUGUUUUGAUUAUUUUUUGGGGGUUUUCAAGAAAAUGCUACCAAAGGACAAUUAUUUGUCGAAAGACCAUACAAACACUCAAAAGGUGUUGAAUGGUCUCGGAUUGAGUUACAAAAAAAUUCAUGCUUGCAAAAACAAUUGUGUAUUGUUUUAUAAGGAGAAUGAAGUAUUGGAUAAAUGCCCUGUAUGCAAUGAGUCAAGGUUCAAAAUGACAUCUCAAAAUAGAUCGAUGAAGAUCCCACAAAAAGUCAUGCUUUAUUUGCCUUUGAAGUCGUUGCCACCGACAUGAAAAGUAGGUAGAUGACAUUGUCCUAAGAGCAACUCCACCGUUGCUAAGGACCCUUAGGGCUAUUCACUAUUUAAUCCACUCAGUGAACAGUAACUACGCUUAAUGAAUAGUAACUGCCUUUUGCAUCUCCACCCCUACACUUAAUAGCCCUGGCAAUAGGCAAUAAAUUAUUAGUAGUUUUUUUUUUAUUUAUAAAAUAAUACAAAACAAUUUUAUUUGUAAUUUCGGGUAAGAUUUUUAAUUGUUCUCGUUGCGCCACAUGUCAAUAUCCGAAAAGACAAUUAUUGGUGAUAGAUUUUGAUAAUUUUCUUUGUAAUUUCGGAUAAGAUUUUCUUGUUGAAGUUGUUUACUAAGAUUGUCUGGAAUCGGAGUAGGAAUGACAUUAAUCUAUAUAAAUUGUUUACUAAUUCACAUGAAUCGGAAUGAAAAAUAAUGUAAUUACUAAAGUACCCCUAUUUUAACUAAUUAUGUUAAUUAUUUUAAGAAAUUUUAGUCUUGAAUUUUUUUUUUUUACUAAAGAGAAUUUUAUUUUUUUUUAUAAAAAAUUUAUUCUUGAUGUUGGAGAAGACUCUAGACGCAUGUAGAAGACUCCUAAUCACAUGAAUUAGUUCAAAUUUGAUAUAAAAAAAUUAUUUAUUAUUUGCUUCUAACUUUUUAAUCACCCUAAACCAAGUGAAACUAAUGAAACAUUUUACGUCCUUUUCUCUCUCCUCCCCUCUCUUCUGCAUCUUUCUCUACAGCCGCUUAACCAAAAUGCUCAACAAAUUUCAACAUCAAACUCUCGUCUACUCGAGGUUGCCCUAGCACAUGUAUCCACAUCCAACCAUCCAAUGAGGCCACAACCUACCCCAUCAACGAAAAAGUCCAAUUUCACAGAGUGAAAGUGAUAAGAAGUUCUUUCCUUCUAUCCUGUUUAGGUCAAAUCUCCUUCUUAAUUGAAUUUGUGAAAUGACGAUUUUGGCGUUCGUUGUUUCAGAUAACGUUCGUCGUUGUGGCAUCGUUCCUGAUCUCGGGCAAUCGUUGUUCCAGACUGUAGGCGUUCUUUGUUCCAGUCGUCGAUUGGUAAACAUGCUAUUAAUGGUUAAAUUUUGUUCUUUUCGAUGUGCAUGCUUUCUGUUUUGUUUUUCCAGAAUCCGAGGAAAAAAUUCAGCGAGCUCCGUGACCAAACCCGACCAAUCCGAGGAAAAAAUUCAGCUCAACCGCAACAGCAGCAGCUGGUGGUGCAGAACUCUGCCGGAAGCCUCAGCUUCAAUAGCAACAUGUCGAAGGAUGACGAGGAGAUGUCAAGGUCGGCGCAUGCACUGAUGCCGCACAUCAAUCGCACGUCACACAACCCUCAAGCUCUCUGGCUGUCGAUUCCCGCCUGGCCUCUCGCUCAGGCCUCCUUCAAGCCCCAUCACCCGUAUGGGCUGGAACUGCUAGCUGGGGCAAUUGGGUUGGAGUAACAGCCGGUCUACCAGGCUAUUGAAUACGGUGAAGCUGCUAUAAGGCAUCCUACAGAUAGAGAAGCGUGGAAAGAGUUUGAACGAACGUUCCCUGAUUUUUCUACUGAUCCUCGGAACAUUAGAUUGGGACUUGCCACUGACAGAUUAAAUUCGUUCGAGGUUCUAAACCAACAUCAUAAUACUUGGCCGAUUUUCAUAUUUCCAUAUAAUUUUCCGCCAUGGAAAUUUAUGAAAAAAGAAUACAUGACGAUGACUCUAUUGAUAAUUGAGGAUCCUAGUUGGUCAAUCGAUGUAUACAUAUUACCGUUAGUGAAUGAGCUAAAAGAUUUCUGGACACACAGUGUGCACACAUACAAUAAGUGUACAGGCAAGAUGUUUACUUUGCGGGCAACAGUAAUGAGGACUGUGAACGAUUUCCCCGCAUAUGCAAUGGUUUCUGCGUAGAGCACUAGGGGUUAUAUAGCUUGCCCUGUAUGCAAGGAAGGCGUAACAUCUAGUUGGCAUGUCGGAAAAGUUUGUUACCUUGGUCAUUGGAAAUGGUUGCCAUAGGACCACGAGUAGUGAGAGAAUGAUAAAGAGUUCGACGGGAAAAAAAAGCAUCACCUCAGACCCAGAGAAUGGUCCACUGAUCAGAUUUUGGAACAGCUUAACCGUUUGGAUUUUGCUUGUUCGGGAGAAACGUCAGUAGGACCAAACCUUCUACACAUAUGAAUUGGACGCACAAGUUUGUAUUUUUUGAGCUCCCGUAUUGGUCGAAACUAAAAUUGAGGCACAACCUCAAUGUUAUGCAUGUUGAGAAAAAUGUAUCUGACACAUUGGUCGACACAAUUCUAGAUAUCGAAGGCAAGACAAAGGACAAGAUCAAAGCUCGUCUUGAUUUGGAACGAAUAGGAAUACAACGGGGUUUAUAGAUGAAUAGGGACAAUGAUAAAGUUAUAAGGGAUCUUACGUUCUUUUCCAUGAAACCGAAUGACAAAAAAGAAUUUUUAAAGUUUUUAUCGUCUGUAAAGUUUCUUGAUGGAUAUGCUUCAAAUAUUGCACGUUGCAUGAAUGUUGACGGGUAAAUUAGCUAGACUAAAGAGUCAUGACUGCUAUGUGGUUCUGCAAUGCCUACUUCAUGUUGGUAUUCAACAUCUCUUGCCAAAUUACGUAGCGAAACCAAUCAUGUUGUUGUCCAGUUUUUUUUCGCAAUUGACAUUAAGAUCGUUGCGAAAGACGGACGUUAAUCAGUUGCGCCAUGACAUUGUGCAAGUUCUGUGCAAGUUGUGUGCAAGUUCUAUGCAAAUUUGAGAUGAUAUUUCCUUCAGCUUUCUUCACAAGUAUGAUCCACAUGAUUGUUCACUUACCAAAUGAGGCAUUGCUUGCUGGACCAGUCAACUUUCGAUGGAUGUAUCCAAUAGAAAGGUCCAAUAGAAAGGUAUAUAAUCCUCGUCAUUGUUAUUAAUCAAUAUCUUACGAUUAGUAAAAUUUGUAUCGUAUCAUUUUAUUUUGGCAGGCUUCUUGAAGACUUGAAGAAAAGUGUAUGAAACAAAGCGAAGCCCGAAGGAUCAAUUAUACAAGCUUGGGUGGCAUAUGAGACGCUUACAUUUUGUGGAAUGUAUUUAAAAGAUGUGGAGACAACUUUCAAUCGUCCUCCUCCCAAUAAUGACGGGGGUGUGAGAAAGGAGAAACUUUCAGUUUUUGCAAAUCGCUCGACCCUUCAAAGAUUAGAUACAAGGUGAGUCAUUCCACAAAGGACAUGGAGGUAGCACAUUGGUUCGUACUCAACAAUUGUGAUGAGACAUUGUCAUACCUAGACGAGCAUAAAGAUAUGAUAAAGCAGGCACAUCCUUCACAUUUGUAUGCCAAGAAACACCGUGAAUUAUUCUUGCAAUGGUUUCUUGAAUAUGUAAGUUUGAAGUGUUUUGUAUUGGACAUAUAUAUUAUACCAAUUAUUUUGCUCAAACUAACAAAUUUAAGUGUUUGUGUAAUAUUAGGUGAAUCGAUUGAAAGCAUUGAAUUCCCCAGCGUACAGUGAAGAGUUAUAUAACUUGGCUUUCAAACUGAUUCAAGUUGAAUUGUUCUCGGGUUACCAUGUCAACAGCGUCAAGUUCUUAGGGGCUGCACGAGAUGACAAGUUGUGUACGCAACACAUCGAUGUUCAUGUCACAGGUGAAGGCAAAAGUACAGACAUUGAUUUCUAUGGCAACCUAACAAGUGUCAUGGAAUUGCUUUACAAAAACUGAUGCCAAGUGAUCCUAUUUAAGUGUCGAUGGUUUGAUACAAACCCAAAUAGGUAGGGAAGUGUUAAAAAAGAUCAUGGAUUACUAUCAGUGAACACUACCAAAACUUGGUACGAUGAUGACCGUUACAUUUUAGCAAACAUGGAAAAACAAAUUAUGUAUUUAGAUGACCCUAAAGCCGGGAGGGGUUGGAAAAUUGUUCAGAAGAUGGAUCAUAGGAAUGUGUAUACUAUACCAGAAAAAGACCCUACUGCCGAUGACAUCGACAAUGCUGCUGACCAACGUCUAGAAUCUUUUAUGAAAAUUGGUGCGGAAACACUCUGAGAUACUAAUCUUAUCCAAGAACCAUUUCAGAUAGAAGGAGUAUCUUCAUUCGAAAUACCGAUUCAAUCAAUCACAAUUGACCUUGGUAAUCUUCCACAAUACAAUGGUCCAAUGCACACAAAAGACGACGGUGGCAUACCUAUCGAUAAUGAAGAAUGGGACACCGAAAAUGAUGAUAGCGAAGAAAGUGAAAGUUAUUAUAGUUCGGAUGAAGAUUAAUGCAAUUUAUUUGUAAUUUUUGUUGUAAAACACAUUAAAUGGUUAAUACAUUUUAUUUGGGAUCCCAUUUUAUAUGUGAAUCACUUUGUAAAUAAUAAAAUAUUAUUAAUAUUUUAUAAUAAAUUUUAAUCAAAAUUCUAAAAUAAAAAUAAAAAAAAACCAUUUUUAAACAAAAUUGCGCGAAACAUAACACUUUUUGGUCACACAAACAUUUUAAAUUUAUGCGGGUAGAUUGAAUUUUUAGACACUUCCACGCAAAGGAUAUUUGCGCAAUGAAAUCUAGGUCUUCGUCGCACAAGUGCCUGAAAAUUAAGGCGCUUUUUUUUUCGCAAAAAUUUUAAAAAACAUUGUGACGAAGUUUUUAACCUUGCGCGACAAAGUCUCUGUCGCACAAGCUUCUAUGUUUUUAUUCAUGUGUAUCAUCUUCCUGCCAUCACUUCUCUCUUCUUCCUUUUUCUUUCUCGAUACCCUCUCUCUCCUUCAUCGUUCUCUCCCGACACUCACCCUUAGUUUUUCUUCCCCGACAGACGUGAAUAUCCUCAUACCCUCUCACUACCACUCUCUGUCGCUCACCUCAUCUCUCCGUCCCUCUCUCCAUCGCUCACCUCAUCUCUCUGUCCCUCUCUCUGGCCGUCGCGUCGUCAUCUCCAAGAGGUAAUUUCCUCUUCUUUUUUUUUUUCAAUUUUCUUUAUUUACCAUGUUAAUUAGGGUUUAUAGAUGAAGGGUUUUUUUUUUCAAAUUGGGGGUUAGAAUUAGGGCAGUGGGGUUAGAUUUAGGGUUCGUAAAUUGGGGGGUUACAUUUAGGUUCUUAAAUUAGAGUUUUUAGGGUUCUUAAUUGGGGUUUGAUUUAGGUCUUAAAUUAGGAAAACGAUUUUGGGCAGUGAGGUUAGAUUAGCUUUUCUUAAAUUUGGGGUCAGAUUUAGGGUGCUUCAUUGGGGUUAGAUUAGGGUUCUUACAUUAGGGGUUUUUUAAUUUCAAGUAAAGGGUUAGAAUUAGCUAGGCCAAUAGGUUAGAUUAGCUUUUCUUAAAUUGGGGGUUAGAUUUAGAGUGCUUCAUUGGGGUUAGAUUAGGGUUCUUAAAUUAGGGGUUUUUUUAAUUUCAAGUAAAGGGUUAGAAUUAGCUAGGCCAAUUACAACAUGGUAAUCGAUGCAAUUUACUCCGCUCCUAGCUAGCCUCUUAUUGUUCAUCUUCAUCUGUGCCAAUCAAAUCUGAUUCUUGGCAGAAUAUAUAUAUAUAUAUAUAUAUAUAUGUGUGUGUGUGUGUGUGUGUGAUAUGCGUUUUUGAAGUAUAUAGCUAUUCCCAUUUGGUUACCCUGAUUUCAUAGUGUCCAUUAUUGUUAAGACUUGAAGCCCACUUCCUAUAACCAAUUUCAAAACAUGCAUAUAAAUUUAGCAUGUUUGAUUUCUGCAAAAAAAAAUUGUAACGAAGCUAGUAGAACUUUGGAAAUUUAUCUUGCAACCUAAUCUAUUGUCCUAACAACCAUAAUGCAGAGAAAUUUGUGGUGACUUGUAACAAAUUAAGUAGUGGAAUAAUAAUCAUGUACAUUAUUUUUUUCAAUUCAUGCUUCAGUACAGUUGCCUCUGUAUGCAUGGGUUUCUGUUUGUCUGGUGCUUCACCAAAUUUGGUUGAUCAAAUUAAGGUGCCACUAUUAUUAAUAGGAGAAGAUACCCAGAGCAUCAAGUUAGGAACAUGAUAUGACAAGUCCUAGAAUUAUCGAUAUAAUACACAUACAGAUAACCCUGCAGGCGAACAUGGUUUUUAGUUGUUUCUGUUGCAAAACUUAUUAAUCUAUAGCUUAAUUAGCAUGGAAGCGAUAGAGUCGAAGACAAAAUACCUAAAUUUAAAAGCCAUUUUUGAAGUUAAAGUUGAAAUAAAAGAAACCAAUUUGCCAUUGAAUAUGAAAACAUGUAAAUAAGAAAUUGAAAACAAACCUGAAUUGGGUUUAGAAUUAGGGUUUUUAAAUUUGGGUUUUUAAAUUUCGUUUAAAUUUAAGUAGAAUUUAUUAUGCAUGUGUACGAUAAUUUUUAUCUUUGUAAUCUAACAAAUUUAUUUUCAAUUUUGUAGAUGUCACAGCUCAUUAGAACCCGGAAGGUGAUGAUGACUACACCUCGUCCGACGACUAGACCUACUACUACCACCACUGCUCCGGCAGAGAUUGACCAUAGGCCGGUGAAUCCGGUUGACCCGGUUGGUCCUCCAGUCCCACAUGCACCAACAUCUUCGACUUCUUCGGUGGCGCUACCUGUUAGCGCUCGACGUGCUCAUUGACGCCCCUGCACUUUGGAGCAGAUGUCGCCAUCGGGAUCCACAACCGAUGCCUUGAGUCCACAGCCAAGUAUACUAUCCUAAUUUACUCCCUCAUUCCCAUGUUAACUUAGUUUUGUUAUUUUAGGUUCAGUUUGUUAAGUUAUGUCAUUUAAGGAUUAAAAGUUAUUAUAUAUAUAUAUUGUUGUCAUCAUACCAAACCCAUUAUUAAACAGUUGUGAUCAUUGUGUUGGAUACAUAUUCAAGGUUUUGGAAAAUGGUUUCAUUAUAGGGAGGUUCUGCCGAAAUUUCGGUAGGAUUUGUUAUUGGUUUUAGGUUAACAUUAAUUUUUCAUUUCUUUGCACACAAGAAAAAAACCCGAGGACCUUGUCGACAAUUGAAGAUGGCGAAAAUCACCCAGGUCACCAAUGGUCAUAUCACAGUUGGAUACGAUGGGCGACAUCGAGCAACACCAACGGUGGAGCAGCAUAGUGCAUUGGUCCACGACAUUGGGCACGUCGUGUUGACCUAUUGCCCUAUGCACUGGAAGUCUUGGAAGGCAAUGCCGGAGGAGGUGAAAAACACGGUGCACAAUCAUUUGUCGGUAAGUAUCAUCGUCCUGUUAAUGCUUUUCAUGUAAAAUUUAUAUAUUUAUAUUUAUUAAUGUCUUUUAUUACUAAUACUUUCGUAAUAUUUGUUACAUUGUAGACAAACUACCAUUUCGAUGACAUCAACAAGGACAUGUUGGUGUACCUCAAUUGACUCUUCUCCAAAUGCUACAAGCAGUGGAAGAGUGACCUGCGCCAGUAUUUCAAGAUGUUUGAUGAUCCACAGGUCGCUCUGGAGGAGGGUUGCCCGAAUUAGUUCGAGGACCGACAAGAUAGUUAGGUUUGGCUCUGCAAUCAUUUUCAGGGGCUGGGCUAUGUGGUGAGUUUUUAAUUAGAACUUCUUUCAUUUUACUUUUUUUAAUUUUUACUAAUGUUUAUUAUGAAUUUUUUUAUUUUCUUUAAAUAUUACAACUAAUACGUUUAUUUUAUGCAUAGCAGAAGAAGGCGAACACAAACAAGAUCAAUCAGGAGAAGAAGACUCUUCUCCACCAUUCGGGUUCGACUCAUUUCUCAUAUAGGAUGGAGGCAUGACGGAAGGUAUAUAUUAAAGCUUUCAUUUCCAAUUUUAAAAUGUCGCUAAUAAUUUUUAUUUUCUUUUUUGUUUCCAUACUAACAUUUUCUUUAUCUUUUUCUAUUUCAUAAGGGUUCAAAAUUCUCGAAGAUCGACGCCUUUGCUGACGUUUAUGUUCGGCAUGGGGAUAAGUUGGCCAAGUCCUUUCAUGUAAUUAAUUUCUUAUGCAUUAAAGAUUUAUACUAAUUAUUUCAAAUUGUUUGCUAUUAAUAUUCCAUGUUUUAUUUCACAGGCGACUAUGUUGGAGAAAGGUCAGUUGGUCCUUCUGGAGUUCGCCUUCUAGCUUCCCCCAGACAUGCCGAACGAGUCUGUGGAUCCCCUUGAGGAUGCGAGGUUUCACAUCCUUACAGAGACAUUCGACCAAACUUUUGGUCGGAGGCCAAGGACAUAUUGUCGGGGUAUAAGAAAUGCCAGACAACGGGAAAGUGGAGCCUCUUCAUUCUCUUAGUCGAAGGGCGAGGUUACGGCUUUAAUGCAAGAAGUCGCUGGCCUAAGGAGUGAGCUCGCAUCGUACAAGACUCAAAUGUCAUUGAUUGUACAAGCCCUCAGUUCCUCCAGGAUUCGUCCCCUAGAUUUUCCUGCAUCACCGCCGUCAGAGACCCUUCACACAGAGCAUACACAGCAAUCAGACCCGUUGACCUUCGACCCCGUUCCCAACCCCACCCUCUUCUAGCAGCAAGAUUACCAAGCACUUCCAAACGACUUGCCCAUAGAUUAUGCCUCAUUUUUUUUUGUUUUUUUUUCCCGCUUUCUUUUUUAAACUUUGUAUUUGUACGUACAUGUUUAUUUAUAUUAUAAAUAAAUUGGUUUUCUAUUUAUUAAUUUGUUUUUUUUUUCUUGUCAAUUGUAUGAAAUAUUUUUUUUUUUAAUUAAAAAUUACACUUGCGCAACGAAGAUAUGUAGUCGUGCAAAACCACGUGCGUCUUACAUGCUUCGUCGUGCAAACAUUUUCAAGGCGAAUUAUAGACAUCCCUAGAAAUUUCUCAUCACAAAGCAAACUUGUACCCUUUUAUAUCGUGUGACAAAAACCUUUGUCUGUAUACCUUUCUUGCAACGAGCAGUAAAGCAUUGCGCAAUCUUUUAGUUGCGUGACGAAUGUGCACUCUUCGUCGCGCAAGGUCUUUCUUCACGACCUUUGAGCGACAAAUUCUACACUACAAUUUUUGCAUCGCCAUAGGUUUUGUGCGACCUGGAAAUGCUUUGCGUGACAAAUACUCCCUCGUCGCGCAAAAUGUUUAACGUAAUAGUGAAUGAAUAUUAUAAUUUCUAGGAAAGUAAGAAAAACAUUUACAUUUAAUUACCAUACUUGUGGAAACAAGGAAUCCUAACUAGGGUUUUAUUCUAUCAGGUAGUGACGACCCCAUUUCACUUGAUGGUAGCUUGGUUGCAGAUGAACGGUGGGGAUGAUCCAGCUGCUGCAUGUACACCAUUGAAAUGCAACACAGAAUGCACUUUUGGAAUUUGGGAGCUCAGGAACCAAGGUUCGGUAACUUGUUUAAUGAAGCAAUGGAGGCUGACUCCAAGCUUAUCGAAAGGGCGGUAGUGGAAGAGUGUGGAGGAGUUUUUGAGGGUUUGAAAUCCCUGGUGGAUGUUGGAGGGGGAACAGGAGCCAUGGCCAAGGCUUGCCAAUGCAUUCCCCAACAUCAACUGCAUUGUGUUUGAUCAACCAGAUGUGGUGGCUGAAUUGCAAGGAACCACCCAUAAUUUGGGUUUUGUGGGAGGAGACAUAUUUGUGGAAAUACAACCUGCAAUUUUGCUCAAGGUACGUAAUUUAUAACACUCAUUUAUUUCCUAACUAACACCUUUUUGUUAGUAAAAACAUUUCAUCCUUGUCUUGUAUAGUUCUAGUAGCAACUUAAUUUCCUAACUAAUACCUUUUUGUUAGUAAAAACAUUUCAUCCUUGUCUUGUAUAGUUCUAGUAGCAUCGUUUGUCCCACAUACUUAGUAAGGCCGACCUCUACUAAAAAAAUGGUAAAUUUCAGUUUACUACCUUCAAGUUUCGUGGUUUUCAACAUUUGUUACAUGAAGUUUUUUUCAUUCCAGAAUCAUAUUAUGGAACAAUCUCGAGCAUCCGUUAGUAUAGUUGUGACAUCCAUGUGGAUAAUAACUGAACGUCAAGGAUCAUUAAAGGUCAACCUGGAAAUUCAAAAAAAAAAAAAAAAAAACCCACUCGUCUUCUAUCUCCCCCAACCCCCUCCCUCCCUUCUCCAACCCGUACCCUCCCUUUUCUCCGCUCCGAGGUCCUCACCCGCCACUCCGACCUCCUCACCCAGCUCUUUUCCCUCCACCAUGCCCAGCUCUCUGCCCUCUCCAACGUCCGAUCCUCUGUUGCCGCCCUCCAGUCAUCCCUUCGCCACACCCGAUCCGAGCUCUUCGACCCCCUCACCCUUACUAUCUAGCUCCAAAAUCUCCAUGCCUCCUCCGAUCUUCUCCACCACUCCAACAGAGCCCUCCGCCUCUCCCGUAAGCUCUGAUCCCUCGCCUCCGACGACCCCGAGCGCAUCGACCGCUGAUAGGAGCAUUUUUAUGCGACUUAAUUGGCUUGUUCUCAUGCAUUUAUGUUGUUUUUCCUUAGUUAGUUUAGUGUUUAAAGUCAUUUUCGUGCAAUUUCAGGUUUUAUUGUCAAAGUAUGCAAAAAGGAGCAUUUUGGAGCUUUUAGGAGCAAAAUUGGGCUUGGAAUGAAGUACAUAUGCAUGGAGCAAGGAGUUUGGACGAAUUUGAAGUCAAAACAUCAAAUGAACAUGCUAAAAAUCUGGUGAAACAAAUACAAGUUGCAAGAAGGGAUAGGUUUCUAGAAGGAUUGACCAAAAUUCCACUCAAAACCAUGUUCACACCAAAAAUCACAUCCUUGCCGUGCAUCCUUGAUGCUUUCACACCAGAAAAUUGAGUGAAUGAUUCAAUACCUAACCAACUAGGAAAUUGAAUAAAUGAUUCAUCCCUAAAAUCACAUGCUUGCCGUGCAUUCUUGAUGCUUUCACACCAUAAAAUUGAGUGAAUGAUUCAAGACCUAACCCACCAUUAUUCUCCACAUGCUUGCCGUAUAUCCUUGUUGUUUCACACCAGAAAAUUGAAUUAAACAAGUCCAUCCUCUCCCUAUAAAUACCCAUGGCAGCAGCCUCAUUGAGGAGAUCCAGAAAUUAACCAUUCUCCAACCUUGUGUUGCAACAAAGAAGAAAAGGAAAGUUCUUGUACGUGCUUGCUAUCCAACAUGGAUCGUUGGAACGUUUAGGUGUUUUCUUUCUUUUGUUUUCAAUGUAUAAUUCUAUUUAUCUUUGCUUUGUGAACAUGAGGAACUAAACCCCUAUUUAAUUAGGGGGAAGUUUGAAGCCAUGAACAUGCUUGUGAUAUGAAUUGAUUUCUUCCAAUUGUGAUUUGAUAAGUUGUGAUUGCAAUUCAAUUAUCUAUUUUCUUCAUAACUAAUUCUUGUAUGUUUAUUAAGGAUGCAUACUUAGUUUUCAUACAUGAAUUAGAUGCUAGAAUAUAAAUGAGUUUCACCUAAUUGUUACAAGUUUAUAUUCAUGAGUAGUGAAGGUUGCUUGUCACAAUCGCGUUAAUUGAAUUCUUGGCAAACGUAUCAUGCAUUCAUAGUUACAAUUGCCUCGUCAACACUUAUGAUUUUCAUUGAACGUAAUGAUCUCUGAUUGUAUCUCUAUUAUGCAUUCAUAUAGGGGACUUUUGGAGAAUAAUUUGGAUUGUCGCAUGCAUUCAUCCAAUUCAAUAAGUAAAGGAAAGUCUGAGGGUUAAUUUGUGCAUCACGGUCAAUCUGGAGUGUUGAGCAUCAUAGUUUAUUGAAAAGCAAUUGGAAAUCGAUUCAUGUACAAGUGUGUCAUGUGUGAAGAACGGACCUCUAACUAAUCCAUCCACCAUCUUAUUUCUCAAAUUCGUUUUAUAAUCUGCCUAGCUAAAAAUCUAUUUAAGUUUUAGUUUAUUUGUUUUACUUUCAACUUCACCAACCCAAAUCCCCCUUUUACUUUCUUGUUUUAAAGUCUUUUGUUUACAUUUUUAACUUUGUUUCUUUUUGUUUUUGAGUCAGUUUAGAGGUUUUAGCAAACCCUCCUAAUCCCCGGUUUAGAACGAUCCCUACUUACAUACUUUGCUACAAUUGUCAAAAGAGGGUUUAAUUUGUGUGCUUAUAUUAUUCGCAUCAACCGCACCAAGGCCGCUCAGCUCCUUUGCGAGAUCUUAGCUCUCUAUAAUGAAUACGACCUCGCUGUCAUUGAUGUGGUCGAUUCCGAACUCGAGUGGGUCAAAGAUACCGGAGACAAGUUGCGUACGGAUGAGAGAAGGAUGGAGGGUUUGAACCAGGCCGAGGUGGGGACUGGGCUGCAGGUGUUUUACAAUUUGCGAAAUGCAUCGUCAACAUUCAGUUCACCAUAAAAUUGGCUACCCUCUUGAUAGUAACCCUUCCUGCAAGAUUUAUAAACAUUUUAACUUCACUGCCUAGUGACUACUUUCCAAAACAUCCAUGACAUUAAGUGAAUUGGAGCAGGAGAAUUACCCGCUGGAAGUUUUCUCAUGAGUCCACCAGUGACCUGUGUUGAAGAUGAGAACAUCUGCAUUUUUGUAGUUGUCAGAGGAGAGAGAGGAUGGAGGAUGGGUGGGGGUUGCAGAGGAGAGGAGGGAGGGUACGGGUUGCAGAGGAAAGAAGGGAGGGAGGGGGUUGUUGGUGGAGGUAGAAGACUGGUGUUUUUUUUUUUAAAUAAAGGUUAAAAGACUUGUUCAAUAUUUAAAUGAACACACAUUAUAUGUUUGUAUUCUAUAUUUUCAUUAUAUUCUAAUACUUCAUUACAUAUAUAUAUAUAUAUAUAUAUAUAUAUAUAUGAUUCUAUUUUGUGUUUUAGUAUGAAAUUAUAUAUUUUUUAAAUAUAAAUAGACACUUAAUUAUACAAAAUAUAAUAGAAUUAUUUAAAUUCGACUAGUCCAUCUAAGCGCUUGGCCCCUACCUGCAACCCGACUAGCACCUUUCGUCUUUUAAAACUUUUAAAUAGAAUUAUUGAUAUUUAAAAGGUGCCAACAAGCAAGUAUAUUUGUAUGCAUACGCAUUGUUGAUAUAGUUGUGUGUGCAUAUCCUCGUUUUACAUAUAGAUUAAUUUUGGAAAUAUAGUUGUUUGUUCGAAACUCUUUGACUCAUGAUUGAUGUCACCUCUUAUGAAAUUAGUAAAUUUAAACUGGAGGGGUGAGAAUUGAAUAUUAUAAAUUUGAACCGUUAAACCGAGAAAAUUUGUUCCAAUUCUGUAAAUUAAAAGUUCGGUAAAGUUAUAAGACCCAAUUCAUGAGCCAGGAUCUUGAAAAACAUGAUUUUCACAAACAAUUAAUGCGGAAUACUUAAAUUACAUACCUCAACAAUUGACCGUCAAAGCCUUCAUCAGUGUACACAUUAAUGGGUAUGUACACUCUCAAUGGUGAAGCUAAGAAUUGUCAAGGGGAUGGGCAAAAUUUAAAAGGAAUUUUCAUGAAAAUGGCUUGAGCUAAGUUUAUUUUAAUAAUAAAAAAAAACAUGCUAUAACUUUAUUUAAUGAAAAAGAAUUAAAUUUUAAUGAAAAACCCUUAAAUUUUAAUAAAAAUAAUAGAAAAACUUAAUUUUUAAUGAAAAUGACGCAAUUAAAAAAAUAACCCGACGCACGUAGGGACCUGUACACUGUUUAUGAAACUGAACACUAUUUAUAAAAUCGAACACUAUUUAAGAAACUGAACAGUACUAUACUAUUUAUUGGUCCAAUUUCAUAAAUAGUGCCUAGUUUUUUGUUCACUUUCAUAAAUAGUGUCUAGUUCUUGAUCAUGUUUUAUAAAUAAUGUCUAGUUAUUAGGUCCAGUUUCAUAAAUAAUGUAUAGUAAUUAGUACAGUUUCAUUAAUAGUGUCUCUUUCUUGGUCUGAUUUCAUAAAUAGUGUCCACUUAAUAGUCCACUUUCAUAAAUAGUGUCUAGUUCUUGGUCAUAUUUCAUAAAUAUUGUCUAGUUUUUACUCUAGUUUCAUAAAUAGUUUCCACCUAUUGGUUUAAUUUUGGAAAUAAUGCCUAAUUCUUAUUUUCUUUCAUAAAUAAUGUCUACUUAUUGAUCCAGUUUCAUAAAUAAUAUCUACUUAUUGGUCUAGUUUCAUGAAUAGUGUCUACUUAUUAGAUCAGUUUCAAUUCUUGGAUCAGUUUCAUAAGGUUUGAAACUUAGACCCUUUUGGUCCUGUAAAAGCACCCAUUGAGUCAAAAAACGAUGAACCCAUAAGUGACUCUUUAGAUCAAAACCUUGAGAAUAUUAUAUUCUUAGUAAUUAUAUUUAAAAAACUAUUUUCAAUUACCAAAUUAAAAUUUCCUCACUUUUUUCAUAUACCUACAAUAAUAAAUGUAGCUCUCCAUCCAAUUUAUUAAGCUUAGGUGUCAUUUGGGAUACAUUUUUCCUUGUGCCCAUAACAUAAAUGGUAUAUCACGUGUUAUUAUAUAAGUGGUGGAAAAUUUUAUUUUUUAUGUUAUUAAUUUUUUAACACAAGAAUAUCACAACUUGUAUAGAAUGUACCACCCCGUGUUCUGGGCACAUUGAAAGGUUUCUCGUCAUCAUGACUACUAUUGGAAAACAACACCACAAAAAUAAAAUAGGAGAAUAUAAUUCAAUUCGAAGUAUUUUUCUUAUUCUAAGAAAGAAAAAAUAACUAUUAAUGUAGCUGACGAUGAGACAAAAAGGUGGGAGAAAAAAGUAGAGUGUUUGAAGUGUUUUUUUUUGGGGGGGGGGGGUAUGCGCAAGUUGGGUUUGUUAGGGGUUUUUUUUUUAAUUUAAUUUAAUUUAAUUAUUAGUCUUUUGUCUUUAUUAUUAAAUAAAGUUAGUGAGUAGUUUUUUAUUAAAAUGUAAAGAUUUGAAGCCCUUUUCAUUAGUUUUCCUAAAUUUAAAAGGGUAAAAUGUUCCAAUAAAAUGGGGACACCCAUUUGAGGUCUAAGUCCAAGGUUGGCAAAAAGACUAUGUGGACUACCUAGAAUAUUCGACGAAUGAUUUGGACUAACCGAAAUAUUCAAAAGAGGACUUGGGCUGCCUGAAAAAUUCGAAGGAGGAUUUAAACUAACAUUAUUAUUUGAAAGAGGAUUUAAGCAUUGUUUCUUGUUGUAAAAUUUCGUUACAUAACUAUAUAAUGAACAAAGUUCUAAAGGACACUAAGAGCUAGUUGGGCAGCAAACAUGUUCUAAUGCUUAGGCAUGGAUUUUGGCGGCUAGAUGUUUAAAUAAAUUUAUUAUAAUAUUUUUUGAAUAAGUGUCUAUUUAUUACAUAGUAUAUAGUAUCUAAAAAUAUUGAUUAUAGAACAUAAUGUAUAAAAAUAUUUGAUAUAUGUUAUUUAUUACUUUAUUGAAUUUGAUGGUAAGAAAUAAAAAUUGAAAUGAUUAUGAGUUCGUAGUACUUUAAAAAAUAUUUUGAAAAGAAAAAAAAUAGCAUGUGCGCAGCCUGCGCUGCACAACAGUAUGGAGUCCUCACAGAAUUACAGGUUUUCCGACCGACCAGAGGGGUGGCAACACAUCAAAUCAAUACUUCUGGCCUUGUUUUUUUGGUGAGAGGAGGGGCGGCAACCCCUCUCUGCCCCUUAGUAGCUUCGCCACUAUGCACUCUUAUAGGCAAAGAAGGGAUCAUUUCCUAAUUAAGCUUAUCAUCAAUUACCACCCAUCACGAUAAUAAAAAAGAAACCAAUUCUCAUAAGUUGACCAAUCGGAUGCUUCCAAAACAAUAUUCAUUAAAGCGAAUUUAUCACACAUGGACCAUGUCAUGUGGGUCAUACUAGAAUAUUGAAAUAUCCUUACAUUCUCCAACUUGGCCCAUAUGAUACAUAUGCUUACAUGCUAGUCAUUACAUUUUUAAAUCUAUAUGCGACUUAAUUCCUUCUAUUAACUCACCAAUUAUAUGUAAUCACGUACAAAUUACAACAAAACACAAAGAAGCAAGCAUAGUUUAAGGAUCAACAAGCUUAUCAAGGCGAUGAUCAAUAUAUGGGUUCACGUCCAAGAGUAUUUAUAAUAAUAUUAACUAUAUUUUUGUUAUUACUAGCAAACGAUCAAAAUGUUAAUUUGACUAGCUAUCACUUCAGCAAUACUAGCUAUCUUAAAUUAAGUAAUAUAUUUUAAUAUUAUUUUUUUCUAAACUUAAUAAUCCAAACUCCUUUUUCUUCUCUUCAAUCCACGACAAUGCAAUUUUAUAGUUUUUAGGGUUUUGCAAAAUUAACUUUUUCUCUCCACACUAAUGUAGCUUUUUUUUUUUUUUUUGAAUGGAGAGACGAUAAUCAUUAAAACAAAACAGAACAAACAAAGUUCGAACAGACUGAGGAUAGUGUGCAAAGUGGGCCUCGAUAAAAACCUUGUCGGGCAAACAACCCGAUCGAAGGAAAAAAGUGUCCCGCACACCGAAAGAACUAUCCUCAAAUGAACAAUAGCAAACAAAUUACAUUCCGUCCUCAAGUAAAACAUCUUGAAUCAAAUCCGGGGGCUCCUCAAACCACUAAAUGUAGCUAAUUAGUAUUCACGAAAUUAAGAUAACUAGUCAAUGACCUAGCUUAUUAGAAACUCGGUUUUCUGCCUUAACUUAUCAAGGCAAAGAUCAUUAGCUGGUGUGAGAGGGCUAUCAGCUACACUUGGAGGAGUUCAGAUCUACUAUUCUCAAACUCCCACUGCCUGCUUUGUGCUAUUGACUAGUGUCAUAUUACUUUACACCAAAUUAUGAACGUUAACAUCUUAAAAGAAAAUUGUUAUUAGCAUUCGAAAUUUUUUUUCUUACACUUCUCACAAAUGUAUUAUUUUUUCUAAUUAUAAAAAAUAAAUAACGCAAAAUGAAAUGUUUGGAAAUGCCAAUAAUAAUUUUCUCUUAAAAUAUGGAAAAUAAAAAUAUUACUUCAAAACAACCCCAUCUCACCAGACAAAGCUCCCCCAUCGAUAUUCUGUCGGCCAACCGAUCUGCACCUCACUGUUGGCCAGUGACCACCAACUUCUCCCGUCGCUCCCCACCCAAUUGCACUUCACCCAGUCACCCACCUCGAGUUGAUACAAAAGUCAAAUGGUUCUCACUUCCUCACCGAAUCCGGAACCCAUUUAUUAAUUUCACUUCGAUUCGAUCUCUCCGCUUCCGCUUCGUUGUGGGUAUAUCGGUAUUUCUCUCGAAACCCCGCAGAAGAAGCAGCCGCCGCCACCACCAUUGGGAUUAGAAGAAGAUCAAGCCCAAGGGGAUACUUGAAGUCAAACAUUGGGUUUGUCUGCAAAUAAAAUCCAUUGCUGCUAAAUCAUAGGAGUCGGAAGGAGAGGGAGAAGAUGAAGCGUGGAUUUUACAUAAAUAGAAGACCUGUUAACUCAGAAGACAGACGUCACAAGAAGAAUGCAGGCAGAGAUGGUGAUUAGUUUUCGAUGUCAUUUACUAAUGAUUAAUUAUUUUCCAUUGAUUGAAGCAUAUAAGGAUGACUGAAAGUACAUAUAUACUGCAUACACAUUACAAACAUAUCUAUUGCUCGCUCUAGCCUCGAAGGAGUCAAUUAAAAGUCUCUUGGUCUCUCUCUUCACAACUCGGUUUGGGGCUACUAUUCCCAUCAUUUUCAGGAGUGCAGCUCCCACUGCUGCUGCCAUCAAUUGUUUUUCGUCCUUCAUCACACUCAUUAUUGCUCAUACUACUACUUACUCCACCAGUACUAGUACCACCUUCUUUGCUACCGCCUUCCUCGAGAAGACGAUCGCCUCUCUCAACCAAGACAAGAGCUAAGUGAAGCUGAUCAUCGUUGCAAGUCAAGUGAUCGUGAUCACCAUGAUCACCAUCCUUAAUUUUGUACUUAGGAUUUGUAGCCCGAAAUGACCAAACUUGGACCACAUCACCUACACCUAGACUAUGUCUUUCAACAAUGCCAAACCAUGUAGAUUUCAGCACAUAGGUUUUUUGAGAUUUGCUUGACAUUGUCCACAAUCCUAGGGAUACCUUGUCAGGUUCAAGCUUUGGGCCAAUCAAAGGAACCAUCAGGAGGCUAGUUUUAUCUAGUUCCUCCUUUUCGUUGGGUUUGAGAAAAUUCUUGGAUUCGGUUUGCAUUCGAGGCAGUGACAACCUGCCUUGGUCUUUGUUUAUGUCAGUGUUGUACAAACUCUUUUGUGCCAACAUUUGCAGCUUUGUCCCAUUCAUUUCUCCUAAGAUCAAGCUCUUGAAUUCUUCAGGCAAGUCAGGGGCUGGCAUACCACUAGCAAAUUUUACCUUAUUUUUACCCUUCUUCACCACCUUAUUUGUUGCGUUCAAGUUGUUGUUGAAGACAAACUUGACCUUCUUCUUCUUCUCAUUCAGAUGUGCAGGCCCCACAUGAUCUUCACCAUCAUCAACGUCGAUGUAUUUUCUUUUCAAAUUAUCCUUAUCACCAAUCAUUGUUUGUGCUUCAUGAACAUAAUCAAGUUCAGUACCACUAGCUCUAGUACUGACAGGGAUGUCGGUUGCUAUAGUUAACUCUUUUCCGAACAAGAUAAUACUUUUAGCUUUAGUGGGCGACCUUGGUUUCUUAGGAUGUGGACAACAUUCUUCAAGUAAACUGUGACACAAAAUUAAACACGUAAUUAAUUAGUACGCGGUGAUAAACAAGGUUAUAUAUGUGACAAAUUAGUUAAUCAAUUUGGUGGCAGUAAUUGUUAAUACUUUAGAAAACUGAUUUCCCAUACCCUUUUAUCCUUUUGUCCAUUUAUCCUCUUUUGAUAUUAACAUGAGUUUACAAAGAGAGAAAAGCAGUGUGUAAUAAUCUCUUCCCUAAUAUACUUACUGAUAACAUAAUUGAAUUAGCUAGCUACGGUUUGAGACAGAGAGAGAGAAAACAUACUCUGGGAUUUCUUGGAUGUUCGAAUGGGAGCAUUUCUUAUUGGGAAGUAGAGGUUGAUGUUCUUCUUCUUGUUGGUUCCCUGACUUUUCUUCUUCCUCAUGACUUCCAGACCCAACCUGACCACUAGAACUCUCCAAUAUAUGGCCUUUUUCUCUCACGAUCACUAAUCCGUUUCCUUCUUUCUGCAACGUAUUAGUUAAUUAAGUAACAUUAUUAACGUAAAAGAAUAAUAAACAAAUAACUAAGCACACUAGAAAGAUUAAAGAAGAUAUGAAAGCUUUUACUUACAGGAGAAUUAGGGUUUGUGUUGGUAUUGCUAGCGGUAGGGCUAGGGCUAGGCAUAAUAUUUAAGAAAUCAAAGUAGCUUCGUCUCUUCUUCAAAGGCAAGUCCGAAUUCUCUUGUGUCUCUUGCAGCAGCUUGAUUUUUCUGGAAGCGAUGGUGCAAAUCGCCUUCGCCAACAUAUCGAAAGGGGACAAGCCAUCAUCGUCGUCCAAAUCUUCCGUACGCCGCAAACUCCGCGAACUCAUCAACAUUAUCUUCUUGUUCUUCUGUUUCUCCUUUUUCUCCAAGUGCUUUUUCAGUGAAUAAAGCGAAAGAACAAACACAGAAGUGCGUUAAUGUUCUUAUAUAGAUAGUCUCUUAUGGGGUAGAAAUCCUUAAUCUGACCGGACAUAGAAAAGUUUGGGCUUCAAGUAAAUAAUAAUCCCUAGCUAAUUGGCUAGCCUAAGUUUUAAUUUCAAUCCAACGGUUCAGGACCAAAGUCAACAAAAUAUGACUGUAUCCAAGGAGGAAUCGGAUGCGCAGAAGAUUUAGGAAAGUAUAUACGAGUAGGUAGUAUUUGUCAGGGAGAAGGGGAACUUUAAUUGGUCUCCAAUGAAUCUUUCCUCAAUCAAAAUUGAUGCCCCAAGUCCCAAAGCUUUUGGGUUUUCUAUUUUAAAAAUUGUAUUUUCAGUUGCCCCAUUUUGGAAGAUUUUGUUAUUGGCAUGGUUUGAUUCCGAUUUCCCGUGGGUUUUAAUAUAUCUUUAAUUUGGUGUGAUCAAUUGUAAGAUAGUUUUUUUUUCCUUUUAAUUUUUAUCAAUAACCAAUUAAUUGAUACACAAAUACAAAAAUGUGACCCGAACCUUCUAUUUUUGGGUGCCCUCGUUGAAAAUCUUGUAUACAAAGUAUUAGAGCUAGCCAUUUAUUGCCUCAAGCAUCUAAGCGAUUUCAACAUUUGAAUUUAAUAAAAAAGAAAGAAAUCGCAUAAAUCCAAAACGCCGUUGUUUUGGACAUGAUUUUUAUCAAAUUCAUGCUAAUUUUAUAUUUCUAACUUAGUUUCUAUUAGUUUAUUAUGACUUUAUCACGUGAGUUAGAAAAAUAAUAAUAAUAGUCCAGUAUUUGAUUGCUUAACAUGCUUACUUGAUUGUUUAAAAUGCCAUGUUAUGUAUAUUAAGUAUUAAAAGUUUUAGUUUAGGCUAUCGCCUCGUGCCUCGAGGCUAUCACCCAAACGAGCUUGUUAUAAAACGCUUUGGCUCAUUUCUCCCUUUUAAAACAUUGGUCUUGAAUUCGAAUUGCUAGUUCGAUACUCUUCAACUUCAUUUUAUUUGGCCUUGAAAAAAACUGGGAAAAUAAACCGUACAAAUACUACCUACCUUCCAACUGCCAAGAACACCCACCCGCCACCACC
rnacentral:lncRNA from 1 species